AAAUUUGAGUCCACACUCAACACUGCAGUGUGGUUCUACACUUGUAUACUCUCUAGUCUGAAAAACCCAAUAGCCCAACCCUGUCAUUUUACCUAGAGAGAAAAAAACUGAAAAGGCAAGCAGGACAUACCCAGCUGGGUUUCCUUUGUCCCUGUCUAUCAAAGCAGAAAAAGGGUAGCAUAUAAUAAAGUGGGGAAGAUGAACAAAGAAAGAAUAUAGCAAAAAGGUCAUUGCUUUGGUGGGUUUGCUAAUUAAGGAGGGAGAAGGGUUGGGAAAGCUUGCUGCUUUGGUUUGGGCUGAUGUUAUGGGUUUGAAGCUUGUAAUGUGGAAUGUGGUGGUAGCAGCAACCCUGGUGGUAUUGUGUUCUUGUUUUGCUUCUGUGAGAGCCUCUGUUUCUUAUGAUUCCAAGGCCAUUGUCAUCAAUGGCCAGAGGAGGAUCCUCAUUUCUGGAUCUAUUCACUACCCAAGAAGCACCCCUGAGAUGUGGCCAGAUCUUAUUCAGAGAGCCAAGGACGGAGGCUUGGAUGUGAUUCAGACUUAUGUUUUCUGGAAUGGGCAUGAGCCUUCACCUGGCAAAUACUAUUUUGAGGACAACUAUGAUCUGGUCAAAUUUAUCAAGCUGGUACAGCAGGCAGGCCUUUAUGUUCAUCUCAGGAUUGGUCCUUAUGUUUGUGCAGAGUGGAACUUUGGGGGAUUUCCAGUUUGGCUGAAGUACAUUCCUGGUAUCCAAUUCAGAACAGAUAAUGGACCUUUCAAGGAUCAAAUGCAAAGAUUCACAACAAAGAUUGUAAACAUGAUGAAAGCAGAAAGGCUGUUCGAGUCUCAUGGCGGUCCAAUAAUUCUAUCCCAGAUUGAAAAUGAGUAUGGCCCCAUGGAAUACGAAAUUGGAGCACCAGGUAAAGCCUACACUGACUGGGCAGCUCAAAUGGCUGUUGGACUUGGGACUGGUGUCCCCUGGGUCAUGUGCAAACAAGAUGAUGCCCCUGAUCCUGUUAUUAACGCUUGCAAUGGCUUCUAUUGUGAUUACUUCUCUCCAAACAAGGCUUAUAAACCAAAGAUGUGGACUGAAGCCUGGACUGGGUGGUUUACUGAGUUUGGAGGUGCAGUUCCUUACCGACCAGCUGAGGAUUUGGCAUUUUCAGUUGCAAAGUUUAUACAAAAGGGUGGAGCAUUCAUUAACUAUUAUAUGUAUCAUGGAGGAACAAAUUUCGGGCGAACUGCUGGUGGUCCAUUCAUCGCUACUAGUUAUGAUUACGAUGCUCCUCUGGAUGAAUACGGACUGUUGAGGCAACCUAAAUGGGGCCAUUUGAAAGAUCUGCAUAGAGCAAUAAAGCUGUGCGAACCAGCUCUAGUUUCCAGUGAUCCCACCGUAACACCACUUGGAACUUAUCAGGAGGCUCAUGUGUUCAAAUCAAAUUCUGGAGCUUGUGCCGCAUUUCUUGCAAACUACAAUCGGAAAUCAUUUGCAAAAGUGGCAUUUGGGAACAUGCAUUACAACCUGCCUCCAUGGUCUAUUAGCAUUCUUCCUGACUGCAAGAACACAGUUUAUAACACUGCAAGGAUUGGAGCGCAAACUGCACGAAUGAAGAUGCCCCGUGUUCCUAUUCAUGGAGGAUUCUCUUGGCAAGCUUACAAUGAUGAAACUGCCACGUAUAGUGACACUUCAUUUACCACAGCCGGAUUGUUGGAGCAGAUAAAUACCACUAGAGAUGCCACUGAUUACUUGUGGUACAUGACAGAUGUUAAGAUUGAUCCCAGUGAGGACUUUUUGCGAAGUGGAAAUUAUCCUGUGCUCACAGUCUUAUCAGCAGGUCAUGCUUUGCGUGUUUUCAUCAAUGGUCAACUUGCUGGAACUGCUUAUGGAAGUCUAGAAACCCCAAAACUAACAUUUAAGCAAGGUGUGAAUUUGAGAGCUGGUAUCAACCAAAUUGCCCUUCUCAGCAUUGCUGUUGGUCUGCCGAACGUUGGGCCACAUUUUGAGACAUGGAAUGCUGGCAUUCUUGGCCCAGUCAUCUUAAAUGGUCUUAAUGAGGGAAGGAGGGACUUGUCAUGGCAGAAAUGGUCUUAUAAGAUUGGACUUAAAGGAGAAGCUUUGAGUCUUCAUUCGCUGACUGGGAGUUCCUCAGUAGAUUGGACUGAGGGGUCUUUUGUGGCACAAAGGCAGCCUCUUACAUGGUACAAAACAACUUUCAAUAGACCAGCUGGAAAUUCACCAUUGGCUUUAGAUAUGGGCAGCAUGGGCAAAGGUCAAGUUUGGAUAAAUGGCCGGAGUAUUGGCCGCUAUUGGCCUGCUUAUAAAGCAUCUGGUACUUGUGGUGAAUGCAACUAUGCCGGAACAUUUAGUGAGAAGAAAUGCUUAUGUAAUUGUGGGGAGGCUUCUCAGAGAUGGUAUCAUGUUCCUCGGUCAUGGCUGAACCCAGCAGGCAACUUGUUGGUUGUGUUAGAAGAGUGGGGUGGUGACCCAAAUGGGAUAUUUUUGGUCAGAAGGGAAGUAGAUAGUGUAUGUGCUGAUAUUUAUGAGUGGCAACCAAAUCUUAUGAGUUGGCAAAUGCAAGUCUCUGGAAGGGUCAAUAAACCUCUAAGGCCUAAAGCUCAUUUGUCAUGCGGCCCUGGCCAGAAAAUCUCAUCAAUAAAGUUUGCUAGCUUUGGAACACCAGAAGGGGUUUGUGGAAGCUUCCGAGAGGGAGGCUGUCAUGCUCACAAGUCUUAUAAUGCUUUUGAAAGGAGUUGCAUUGGACAGAACUCAUGCUCAGUAACUGUAUCACCUGAGAAUUUUGGAGGGGAUCCAUGUCCAAAUGUCAUGAAGAAACUCUCUGUGGAGGCCAUUUCUACAAAAGAUGUGGAAUCAAAGCGCGGUGGAUCCUUCACUGGCCAACCCAACACACCCAUGUCCCAUCUCUGCCUCUUCGUCGUCUUCGUCUUCACUUUCUUCGUCGUAAUACCUUUCUUUGUUUUUGUAAAGCUGAAGAGAACAGAGCUCAAGCUGCAGAGACGGAAUGACCUGUUUGAACUAAACCUGUUUCUAUAUCAGACUCUGGCCAAGACCCACCAUGUGGACGAUGGAAAUGACCCGACCCGUUUGGCCCAACAAGGGUCGGGCUCCGAGGACGAGGAGAGGGACGGGUCCGGCGGCGGCAUUGAGAAAGUGAAGAAGAAGAAGAGGGCCAAGAAGAAGAAUUCAUCACAAUUGGAAUGUGGUGGUGGAAAUGAGGAUAUGAGUGAGAAGGGGAAUUCGGGUCCGGUUUCGGGUUCUCGGGUCAAGGCUGAUGUGGUGUGUUUCUACCCGUUUACCUCAUCCACUAGUGCUACACAGAGGAAGAUCAAGAAGCAAUAUGAUGAGCUUAUGAAGUGUAAUGCAUCCAAGAAAUUGACACUCUCUCAGGUUGGACAGUUUGCUACUUGCUUAGUUGAGGCUAGAAAUGAGCUACAGCACAAGGCUGAUGCCAUUCAGCGUAAAUUUACAAUAAGAAAAGCUCUACUAAACAAGGCAGAUAGAUCUUCUUUUGACCGCCUUCGUAAACAGAUAUGCAAGCUAGAAUUAGAACAGAAGAGACUGGAAGAGGAUGCAUCUGUCUACAAUUGGCUCCAACAUCAGCUUAAGCUUUCACCAGCAUACAAGAAGAUGCUUGAAAUUGCCUGCACUGAGUUGAAGACCAAAUCCAGAGAGCAAAUGGAGAGUAAAGAUGUAGAUUUUACUGGAAUUUCUUUUGAAGAUUUCCUGGCACAAGAAAAGAAGGAUUCAUUCUGGGGUCUUGGCCCUGGUUUGGUUCUUUCGAGUUUGGAGUUAAUUCAGCCUGGUUUGGUUGCACGUGAGGGGGAGUGUUGGAGAGGAGAGAUCCCACAGUGGAAAAGUGAGAAGCAAAAUGAGGUAGUUCGUUCUAGUGCUGAAGCAGAAUAUAGAGGAAUGGCUCGAGGACUUUGUGAGAUGUUGUGGUUGAGGCACUUGUUGAGAGAUUUGGGAUUUCGGCAGAAGAAGGCUAUGCCGCUUUAUUGUGAUAACAAGGCUGCUAUUGAAAUUGCUCACAAUCCUGUUCAACAUGAUCGCACAAAGCACGUGGAGAAUUUGUGUUCCAGGGUGAUCAUUGGCAAGGGAGACCUGAGGGGGAGACUGUUUCACUUGGAUUGUAUGUACGUCGAGCCAGCACAAGCACCAAAGCAACUUUUGGCCUUGACAUUGAAUUCUGAUCGAUUAAGUGAGCUAUGGUUGUGGCAUAGACGGUUGGGCCACCCAUCCUUUGGAGUUAUGAAGAAGUCUAUGCCCUCAUUGUUUAUGGGAAUUAGUGAGUCUACCUUAUACUGUGAAACUUGUGCUUUGGCUAAAAGUCAUAGGUCUAGUUAUCCUUUGGCUUUUCAUUCGAGUACUAUGCCUUUUGAAUUAAUUCAUUCGGAUUUAUGGGGUCCUUCCAAAAAUUCCACUCUUUCUGGAAUGCGUUACUUUGUGUUAUUCAUUGACGAUUUUACUCGUUUGUCUUGGGUGGUGUUGCUUAAGUCCAAAGAUUCUGUUUUUUCUGCCUUCACAGCCUUCCAUACUCUUAUUCGUACCCAGUAUGAUGCACGUGUUAAAAUCUUUCGUUUAGAUAAUGGAGGUGAGUUUGUCAAUCAUUCCUUCCGUGAGUAUUUCCAAAACCAUGGCAUCAUACAUCAGACUUCGUGUCCACAAACACCUGAACAAAAUGGGGUAUCUGAACGGAAAAAUCGUCAUCUCUUGGACAUGGCACGGUCUCUCCUCUUAAGUGCUAACAUGCCUAAGUAUCUUUGGGGAGAAGCCGUAUUGUGUGCGUCUCAUCUCAUCAAUCGUCUCCCGUUAGCUCCUCUUCAAGGUCGUGUUCCUUUCAAUGUCUUGUCUCAAUAUGUUCCUAUUCCGUCAUCAAAUUCUCUUCCUGCUCGUGUCCUUGGUUGUGUUGCUUAUGUCCACUUGUAGAAAAAUCAAAGAUCAAAAUUAGAUGCUAGAGCCCUUAAGUGUGUAUUUGUGGGGUAUGGUUCCCAUCAGAAAGGCUACAAGUGUUAUCAUCCACCAUCCCAAAGAUUUUAUAUCACCAUGGAUGUUACCUUUAAUGAAGAUGCAUGUUAUUUUUUGCCUCCUGCAACUCCUUGUCAGGGGGAGAAGUCAUGUUUUUAUGAAGAUUUGUUUAGUGAGCUAAUUGGGAGUCAAAGUGUUGAAGAGUCCACAAAGGGAAAAAAUGAAGAAAGAUGCAAUGAACCAGUUUUACAAGACAGUAAAAAAGGAGGCAGUAAACAAGACUUGCAUGACUUGUCAUCUUCGUCGUUCUCUGAUGACUUCGGUCACGCUGCCAAUAUGCCGACCGACCUGCAAGACUCACCGGCGAGCUCGACAGACUUGCUGAUCCUCCGCACAACGUGCUCGCCGACCCACCUCCCAGCUUUCUCGCCAGCAAACCGCCCAGGCUCACCAACCUACCGAUCGGCCACUGCAGAGACAUCGAACUUCCAGGGACACCCAAACUCGCUGGUCGGAGCAGAAUUUCCUGGCCAGGCAGUUCAAACCGCAUCACGACCCAGUCUGUCAAAUUCCGGCGAACCAAAUCAGUUCCCUGGAAGCAGUAACAUGGCUGGCGCCGGCUCUGGCAUUCUGGGCAGUAAGGAGACCGAUAAUUUGAUCAGUACACCCAAUGUUUUGGGUAGUCAUCCUACAGACUCGGUUUCACAUGCAAUCAAUCAAUCGGUGCUAGUUGACAAUCAAGCUCCAUCUAGUUUGUCAGCAAGGGAGCAAAUUACUAAUGGAAAUCCUCAUGUGAACAGUAACCAUGUCUCUCCCUCUCCUGAACAGGUCUCUCAAGCUCAUGAAUCACCCGAGGUAUUUUCUAAUUCUUCUUCUAUGUCUACUAAUGUGCCUAUCAGACAAUUGCCUAACCGUGUCACUCGUGGUCAGCCUCCGAAACAUUAUGAACCCACUCUAAGUGCAAAAGUUCGGUACCCUGUUGCUAAUUAUGUGUCAACCCAUAGGUUGUCUAAACCAUAUGUUGUGUUUGUGAAUCAAUUAUCUAGUGUGUCUCUCCCUAGUAAAGUGCAGGAUGUAAUGCAGGAUGAAAGAUGGAUGCAGGUAAUGAAAGUUGAGAUGGAUGCUCUUGAGAAAAAUUGUACAUGGGAGUUAGUGCCAUUACCACCCGGGAAGAAGCUGGUUGGAUGUCGGUGGGUCUAUACUGUGAAACAUAAUUCUGAUGGUUCGGUGGACAGGUACAAGGCGAGCGAGGCUCAUAUGGAAGCUGUAUUUCGUAUUUUGAAGUAUUUAAAGUCUGCUCCAGGGAAGGGGUUAAUCUUUUCAAAACACAGGCACUUGGAUGUUUCUAGGUACACAGACGCAGACUGGGCAGGUAAUAUUACAGAUCGUAGGUCUACUUCAGACUACUUCACUUUCGUUGGUGGUAAUUUGGUUACUUGGAAAAGUAAGAAGCAAAAUGUGGUAGCUCGUUCUAGUGCUGAAGCAGAAUAUAGAGGAAUGGCUCGAGGACUUUGUGAGAUGUUGUGGUUGAGGCACUUGUUGAGAGAUUUGGGAUUUCGGCAGAAGAAGGCUAUGCCGCUUUAUGUGAUAACAAGGCUGCUAUUGAAAUUGCUCACAAUCCUGUUCAACAUGAUCGCACAAAGCACGUGGAGUUAUAUCACAUGGACAUGGCACGGCGAAAAUCAAGUUCAAAUGCCUAUACUUGCAGACAUUCAAGCACAACAUAAUCAGCAGGCAAGAUCUUCCAAUGCUAGUUACGGGGACCCUGCUGUGAUGAACCACUUAAACGAUGCAUUCUCGUUCGCCGCCUCAGGAUAUCAGCAAAAUGUUGUUUAUGACAACUCCCCUAACACCUUCCCUAAUGUCUCCCACAUUGACUACAGUAGUGAUUAUGAUAAGUACACCAGGCUUGUACGGGAAGUCCAAACCCCAUUGUAUUCUGGUAGUGAGCAUACUCUCUUGGGUACCGUCAUGGAGCAAAUGACGAUCAAAAGCAAGCGGGGAAAGAGUAAAGUAUGUUUUGAUGAGGAUAUUGCACUUAUGAAGAAAGUGCUUCCCAAAGGUAACAGUUGUCCGGAAAAUUUCGACCAGGUAAAAAAGAUGUUGGCUGAUCUUGGUCUUGAUCACCAGAAGAUAGACGCUUGCGUCAAUAACUGCAUCUUGUAUUACAAAGACAACAAGGAUGAAGUUGAGUGCCCACACUGCUACGAGUCAAGGUAUGAAGUUUCCACUUCAUCUAAGCAGAAAAAGCCCAUUCCUAGGAAGGUUCUUUGUUACUUCCCAUUGGGUCCUUGUCUGCAGCGUCUGUACAUGUCUUCACAUACGGCCAAUCAUAUGAGAUGCCACCAGGCAAGGCACCAUGGAGAGCAGAGGAUAGAUCCGGAUAAUCUCACACACCCCGCAGACGGGGAGGCUUGGCAGCACUUUGACCGUUCUUUUCCCGAAUUUGCUGGAGACUGUCGAAAUGUCAGACUCGGACUUGCAACAGACGGAUUCAAUCCUAUUGGAAACAUGAAUUUGUCUUAUAGCAUUUGGCCUGUGAUAGUAUUUCCGUACAAUCUACCUCCCAACAUGUGUAUGAGGAAGGAGUACAAUUUUCUUACUCUUAUGGUUCUAGGGCCGCAUUCUCUAGGAAAGUGCUUGGAUGUUGAUUUUCCAGCUUAUGGGAUGUGGUUUGGCCAACAAACUAAGCGGUACAAGGCUUACCCGGUAUGCUUAUAUGACGUCAAUUCUAGUAGCCAUGCCGACAAAAUUUGUUUCUUGGGAUCUCAUAAACAUCUUGACGAGGAUCAUGAGUGGCGAUGGGAUGCUGAGGCAUUCGAUGGGACUGAGGAGCAUAAUCUGAAACCCCCAGGGAGGACUGAACGAGAUGAAGACCAUGUCACCCAAAACAAUGGAGUCAUGGUUGAGGGUUUGGGUUUCAACUACUACGGGGUUCUUGUUAGUGUCAUCGAACUUAUCUACGGCAACCGUAUGCCAGUCGUGUUGUUCAAGUGCAAAUGGUUCAAUACUGACCCAACCAGACGGAGGAGUACAAUUCUGGAUCUUGGCUUGUUAUCAGUGGACUCAAACAUUGUAUGGUUUGAGAAUGAGCCAUUUAUUCUUGCCAGCAUGGUGAAACAAGUGUUUUAUCUUGAUGAUCCGGCUAUGGGUGAGGGUUGGAAAGUGGUGCAGGUGAUGUCACAUAGGAAUAUUUGGAGUGCAGCUACACUGGGAGAGGAUGAUGAGAGUGGGCGGCCAAGUGAACCAAUAACAACUGAUCGACCGAAUGAACCAUAUCAAGAGGAAUCUCCACAUGUAGUCCCCGAUACUAAGGAUAUUCGUGUCUACAACCAACACGUUCUGAUAGAUAUGGUGAUCAUGGGGAAGAGGAAGGGCCGAGCCACUCAGGCCAAUGCUUUGAUGGAGUCAAUACGGCAGAGCGUCGGCUCAGCUAGCAGUAGCAGCCAUCCUAACCCCAUGCCGGCUGAGACAGUACCACCAAGGGCUCCCCCCUUGAUCGUGCGGCGCCCUACAGUUGACAGUUGUUCAACGGGAUCUCAAUCGGCGUCUGUAACCGCACCGGAGACUGCAACCGCACCUGAAUCUGCAAGACGCAUCGUCGGCAGCGCUCGAAUCAAAGUUAGAAGCCUAACAUCUCCGGCCCCGAAAAAGAAGCGGGGUUUUUGUUAUGGAAAGAAGGCGGAGGAUAUCGUUCAACAAACGGGGCAGAAGAUCAAGCUCGCGUAUUGCCCCCGUGUAAAAGGCCCUAGCGUGAGGGGGAUAAACAGCUUGGUGGCACAUGAUAUCGGUUGCGCCAUAUGGAGUCUGGUGGGAAUGAGGGCAAGCAUGUUCUACGACCUUGAUCAGACUGAGAAGUGGAAGGUGUGGAAUGCAAUGUCGCCAAAGUACAAGUGGGAUGAAAAUGAUGAGCCAAUGUUUAAUUGGAUACUGAAGAGGGCACAUGAGAGGUACAAGGACUGGAAGUACCAGUGUCACAAAGCUUAUCUGAAGGAAGGGCCAUCUGGCAUGCCUUCAGAUUUCAUUGGGAGAGAGGACCAGUGGGAGUUUCUAUGCCAGCACUUCGAGUCAGAUGCGUUCAAAAGACUCUCCUUAGUAAACAAGCGGAACCAUGGGGAGAAGACUAUGCACCACCACACGGGGUCUUAUCCUAUCAUCUACACAAUGGAGGAACUCAGAAUACAAGGGGAGCAGCUUCCAAUUAUCAAAGGUUUUGAGAAGACCUAUAAUGACAUGGUUGAUGAGGUCAAUAAACGAAAUGAUGAAUUUAAGGAACAACACCCUGACGCGACAGAGGAGCAGAUUAUGGAAAGUGUUCAGUCCCAACAAAUUGAGGUGUUGGGUACGGAGCGCUAUGAGCAGAGACUAAAGGAAUCAGAGGAGCGUGCCCAGCAACAGUUAACAGAGGUCCAGCAGCGUGCCCAACAACAAUUUCAAGAGGUCCAGCAGCGUGCCCUACAUGUUGAGUCUAUAUAUAGUGCUGUGCAGUCCCAAGUUGCAGCCAUAUAUGAGCACCUAGGUUACAGUUACAGUUUGAUUACUAUUGAUGAGAUAAAGGAUGCAGUGUUUGACUUGGGCGGUUUGAAAGCUCCAGGGCCGGAUGGCUUUCCGGGAGUUUUUUAUCAAACUUAUUGGAAGAUAGUCAAUCCGAUCAUUUGUGCAGCUGUCUCUGAUACUUUUACCACCUCUUCUAUCCUACUGGAACUAAAUAAAACCUUUUUGGCUUUAAUCCCUAAACAGAAAAACCCUUACCUUCCUUCUCAUUUUCGGCCAAUUGGCCUUUGCAAUUUUUUCUACAAGAUUAUUAAUGCAAAGGUUCUAGCUAAUCGUCUGAAGCCUUUGAUGCCUCUCCUCAUCACUGAAAAUCAGUCAGCCUUUGUUUCAGGAAGGCGAAUUCAGGAUAAUAUCAUUGUUGCUCAUGAGUUAUUCCAUUAUUUGAAAGUGCAACGAUCUGGUGAGUCUGGAAGCUUUGCUCUUAAGCUGGAUAUGAAUAAGGCUUAUGACCGCGUUGAAUGGUCUUUUCUUAAGGCCGUUUUUCUUAAAAUGGGAUUUGCUGGUGGAUGGGUCUCUCUUUUUAAGCAAUGCAUUUCUACAGUAUCUCUUUCAGUAUUGGUUAAUGGAAAGUCAGGGGUGUUCUUCAAGCCUACCAGAGGUCUUCGUCAAGGUGAUCCUCUUUCUCCUUUUUUGUUCCUGUUCGUGAACGAUGUGUUGUCUCAGAUUCUCUGUAAACUUUCAAUGGUUAACAUUCUUCAGUUGGUUCAAAUUGGGGACUUGGGGCCAAAGAUUAUCAAUACAAUGAAGUCUAGCUUUUACUUCUCACCAAAUACUGAUCCCCACAUAGUGCAAUUAAUCAGUUACUUGUUGAAUAUGAAAGCAGUAAAAGAUCCGGGGAAAUAUUUAGGUUUACCAACCAUUUGGAGUUGUUCAAAAGUUUCAGCUCUUGGGUGCUACAAGCUCGGUACUUCUCCAAUACUAGUUUCCGGAAUGCUCACAAAGGAGGAACUCCUUCCUGGAUUUGGUCCAGUUUACUUGAAGGUCGAAAUCUCCUUUUUCAAGGUAGAUGAAUUAUAUUGCUCCCUAAUAAAAGUAUAUCCAAUGAACAAAUUAACUCCAUCAGCUAAUUCUAUGUUUUCAUCAGUAGCAUUCACAGUGCUGGUGGCACUAAUCGUCAUCGACAAUAACAUUUCUGGUGCAAUCGCUGGAUAUGAUUUUGGACAUGCCACAUUUUAUGGUGAUAUGAGGGGCAGAGGAACCGAAGGUGGAUCUUGUGGAUAUGGUGAUCCUUUCGCACAAGGAUAUGGGAUUGCGACGACAGCCCUGAGCACUGUGCUCUACACUAGAGGCCAGAGUUGCGGAGCUUGUUAUGAAAUAUACUGCGCGAAUGAUCCACAAUGGUGUCUGCCGGGUACCAUCAAAGUGACUGUAACUAACGAAUGCCCAGGAGGUCCCUGCGCACCUCCUCAGAAACACUUUGAUUUGACCAUGCCAAUGUUCUUGAAGAUAGUCAAAGCCCCCCAAGCUGGGAUUAUUCCGAUAGGGUUCCGAAGGACCUGGUGCACUAAGAGAGGAGGGAUUAGGUUUGCGUUCGAGGGGAACCCUAACUUUCUACUGGUGUUGGUGUCUAAUGUUGGAGGUGCUGGUGAUGUGGUUGAUGUCAAAAUCAAGGGCUCGAGGGAAGCAACAUGGUGGACAAUGAAGCGCAACUGGGGACAGAAAUGGGAGACUGAUGGCAACUUGGUAGGGCAAAGCUUGGGGUUCCAGGUGACUACUAGUGAUGGGAAAUCGCUCUAUUCUGAUGGUGUUGCUCCUGCAAAUUGGUUGACAAAUAAAAAGAAACGAGCUAGUUUUCUGACUGAGGGGAACGCGCCUCCACGCGCUGUAACCCUAGGUCGAGCCUUUGGUAUCUUCUUCGCCUGUCCAGCGGCUCCAAGGCGUUGGGGAUGGCCUCUGGCCUCGUCAACGUUUGUUGGGGGCUGCCGGACGGGUUGUGUGGGUCGAGAGCGAGCCUGGUGCACUAAGGAAGCAGUUAGGUGGUUUUCUCGGCCGAUCUUCUUGUUCAGAGUGGGUGGUUGCAGUGGUUUGGCAGUGGAGCGAGAUUGCAGUGGUCGUAGAUCCGGUCUGGGGCGGGGUGGUGACCAGUCGUCGACGGAGGAGGAUGAGAUGGCAGCGAUCCUCUAUGGUGGUGGCAAUGGUGGAAGCGACAACGGCGCUAUGCAGACCAUAAAUGCAGGAGGUUACUGCGUCGAGGAUGGUGAAGAUCUGGGUGCUCUUAAUGUUGAUGGAGGCAGUGGUCAGCGUGAUGGUCCUGCUCACGAUGGGGCCGGUAGGAUUGGGGCUGCUAAUAUAUUUGUAACCGCCGACGACGGUGGUAGGAGGACGACUUGGGUUGAGAUCACUUUGCGGGUCGGAGUAUAUAGUGUGCUGAUGACACUUAUUGUCAUUGGCAUCAGCAUUGUUGGUGCAAUCGAUAUCGAUGGUUGGGAUUAUGGACAUGCCACAUUUUAUGGUGAUGUCAAAGGUCAUGGAACCGAAGGCGGAGCUUGUGGGUAUGAGGAUCUCUGGGCACAAGGAUAUGGGCUUGAAACCACAGCCCUCAGCAGUGCGCUUUUCAACAACGGCCAAACCUGCGGAGCUUGUUUCGAGAUAAUUCGAAAGUAUAAGAACAAAAGAGGGGAAAUUGUUGUUGCUGAUGUGUUACAAAAAUUCUUUAAAGUGGCUUAUGCAUCGACUGAGAAGUCUUUCUACUUUCAUUUAAAAAAUUUGAGAGACGAGGGUGGUGCUGCUAUUAUUGAUGAAUUCAUAAGGGAGAUUCAAUUGGAACAUUGGUGCCGUGCUUUUUUUAAAGGUUGUCGGUAUGAGAUUAUGGCAAAUGGUAUUGCUGAAUCCUUUAAUAACUGGAUUGUUGCUGAGCGUUCACUACCCCCUUUCGUUAUGUUAGAUCAAACAAGAAUGAAAGAAAUGAAGAUGAUGUCAGAAAUGAGUGUUGAGUCGAAAUCUUGGACUACCAAGCUUACUCCUAAAAUGGAGAAGAGGCUGAAAGAGCAGCUUGAUAGGUCUCGUGUGUUCAGGGUGAUUGCUUCCCAUGAAAAUGUUUAUGAGGUUAGGAAUGAUAAGUACUCCUAUUCAGUGGACCUCUCUACUCGUACUUGUUCAUGUGUGAAGUGGCAGAUUAAUUGCUUCCCAUGCGCUCAUGCACUUGCUGCUAUACAAGGUGCAAAACUUGAUGUGUAUGAUUUCAUUGAUCCUUAUUUUACUACUGAAUACUAUAGGAUGUGUUAUAGUUUUCCUAUUGCACCUCUGAGUAACGUGGAUGCCUCUUGUUCUUCCACUGAGGACUUUAUACUACCUCUUGUUACAAAGAGGCCGGCUGGGAGGCCUAAAUCAAAGAGGAUAACAUCUGCUGGUGAGAAGAAGCUGAUUCAAUGCGGUCGUUGUAAUAAGAUGGGCCAUCAUAACAAGAACAGCUAUAAUGAAUCUAAUUUUAAGAUGCUCUUCUGCUGUGCAAAAAUUUAUCAUAUGGAUAAUGUAGUAGUGACAGUAGUCAAGGAUGUCGGGAAAAGUUGUUCAUCAACUAGUGUAGUGGUUGAUGAUUGUGUUGAGAUGAUAGAUGAGAAUGACUAUCUAGGUGAUGCUUUUAAGGAUGGACCUCAGAGUUUUUUGUCGGAUGAAUGGGGUUCAUAUUUGUCACAUGUUGGGCAGAGGUUUGAGAGCAUUGCAGACUUUAGAGACAAACUGAGGAAGUUUGCUGUUCAAAGUGGUUUCCAUUAUGUGCUAUCUAGGAAUGAUUCAAUUUACGUUAAUGUUGUUUGUGCAAAUCGUGAUGUUGACCACUGUGGCUGGGAAGUACUUGGAUCUGUUGCUUCUAUUAAUCAGUGCUUUUACAUUACGCGGUUUAAUAAUGUUCAUACAUGCAGAGGUAUGAUAAGGAAUCGUUCUCAUCGGCAAUUACGGUCUAAAAUUGUUACGACCUGCAUUGAGUCUACUGUCUGUCUGAAUCUUGGUUUGAAGCCCCGUGAGAUCAUGAGCAAUUUCAAGUCCACUUAUGGUUAUGAAAUUUGUUAUAAGGUUGCUUCAAGAGCUAAAAAAAGGUGUGUGGAAAAGAUGUAUGGCUCGGAAUGUGAUUCGUUUUCUAUGUUAAGCGGGUUUAGGAAAGCUGUGUUGGAGACUAAUCCGGGUUCUUCAGUUGUUCUUGAAGUUGAUGAGAGUACCGAGAGGUUUAAAAGGGUUUUUGUAGCUUAUGCCGGCCAAAUGCAGGUGAAAGGUUGUCGGUAUGGGAUUAUGGCAAAUGGUAUUGCUGAAUCCUUCAAUAACUGGAUUGUUGCUGAGCGUUCAUUGCCCCCUUUCGCUAUGUUAGAUCAAACAAGAAUGAAAGAAAUGAAGACUAUGUCAGAAAGGAGUGUUGAGUCGAAAUCUUGGACUACCAAGCUUACUCCUAAAAUGGAGAAGAGGCUGAAAGAGCAGCUUGAUAGGUCUCGUGUGUUCAGGGUGAUUGCUUCCCAUGAAAAUGUUUAUGAGGUUAGGAAUGAUAAGAUGUGUUAUAGCUUUCUUAUUGCACCUCUGAGUAACGUGGAUGCCUCUUGUUCUUCCAUUGAGGACUUUAUACUACCUCUUGUUACAAAGAGGCCGGCUGGGAGGCCUAAAUCAAAGAGGAUAGCAUCUGCUGUGAGGAAUUGGAACGGCAAGGUUAUUGUGGACAUUCGCGAGUUCUAUGUCAAGGAUGGGAAGCAAAAGCCUGGGAAGAAAGGUGAGGCAUUAGUGAAGAGUGUUCGAACAAAUAACAAUGCACCUGUUUACACUGGUUGUUGCCAGAAAGGAGAAAUUCGGAUCUCUUCAUCAAACUCGACACCACCGUUCCUGCAGCAAUUACUAGAUCCAAACAACGGUCGACAAAGCGUACUCUUUCGUGAAAACAUUCGGGUUUACAAUUCAAUGUUCUCUUUUACCUCAAUGGGUGCAAAAAUUGAUUCUGAUAUAAACAGAAGAUCAGGACCUUAUGUUUUUAAGAUAUGUGGUCAGAUACAUCAUUUAAUGGGUUCUGCAUUACCUGCUGAAGGAGAACGUCCUAAAUACGCGCAAUUGUACGUUUAUGACACCAACAAUGAGGUUUCAAACCGUAUGGAAGCUAUUGACCCCUGUCAUACUAACAAAAAAACCAAACCUGAUAUUGUGCAAGGAUUGAUACAAAUGUUUGAUGAGAUAAAUGAAUUGGUUAAAGAAUACCGCUAUGUUCGAGAUAAAUAUGAAAAUGGGUCGUUGCCUUCGUUGAACAUGACUAUACUUGGACGGCAACAAAAUGAUAGUAGGCAGUACGAAUUACCCACCAAUGAUGAGGUAGCUGGAUUAAUUGUUGGUGACAUUGGAGAAUUUAAUUCUAAUAGAGACAUCAUUAUUCAAUCAAACGAUGGGAAUUUAAAACGAAUUUUCAAAUUUCAUCCGAAGUAUAUGUCGUUACAAUACCCGCUGUUGUUUCCUUAUGGUGAAGAUGGAUAUAGACAUGAUUUGACAUUGCAACCAACUGCGAGCGAACUUGGAAGACAAAAUAUGAAACUUACAAUGAUUAAAUUUGUCUGCUACCAGAUUCAUGACAGACAAAAUGAUUCAAGCACUCUGUUAAAAGGUGGAAGAUUAUUUCAACAAUACUUGGUUGAUGCUUAUGCGACCGUUGAAGAAGAUCGUUUAGACUUUGUGAGGACUCACCAAGGCAAUGUAAGAAGUGAUAUCCGCAAAAACAUUUUUGUUGCUGCAUCUUCCGGGGUUACACAAACCCGUGAUAUGGGAAAACAAAUAAUUCUUCCAAGCACUCACACCGGGAGUCCUCGAGAUAUGAUCAACAACUAUCAAGAUACAAUAGCAAUUUGCAGACAAUAUGUGCGAGGCAAUGUGGAAGAGCAGCGGGAAGAAGAGCAGAUACAGAGUGUGGAUGCAGCUUUCCAGGGGGCUGAGGAUGAGAUUCUCGUCGGGGACCUCGCCGCCGUGGUACUUGGAGUCCUGCUUGGUCUUGAAAGACGAAAUGCGAGGAAUGGAGUAGAGCCAAUAGAAAAUGCAGCUGAAGGCCAUGAGGUAGUAGGAAGCGUUGUUCAUACCGACGGCGGAGACGGUGGCCCAGGUGAAGAGCGAAGAGGCGGCGAAGGGGACACAGGCGAAGAGGAGGCGCUCCAGGGCGAGCACAAUCGAAGGAUUCUCGAUUUGAAUCCACCUGAACUGGAGAGAGACCCAAACGCCGAUCAGGAAAUUCGUCUCGGCGCAGAGGAACGCGGCGAGGCCGAUGAUUGUCUAAUUUUUGCUAAAGCAAAUACAAAGGCAGCCAGGAACAUUAGCAAGGUUCUUGACUGCUUCUCCAAGGCAUCAGUGUUUUGGAAGGAUCCUAUUAAUGCCAAGGAAUUAUUACAAAAGAUGUCUAACAGACUUGCAGGCUGGAAACAGAAUACUCUUUCAAGAGCAGGAAGAGUCACUCUCAUCAAGGCAAACCUUUCUGGUAACUACAAGGAAGUACUUGAGGAAAAAUUCUUUUUUCCAAGCAAAGAAGAAACAAAAAAAUUCUUUAGCUUGGAAUGGAAUUUUGGAUACAAGAGAUCUAAUCAUGAAACGUAUGAGAUGGAUUCUGGGAAAUGGUGGACACCACCCCCUUCUAAUUGGGUUAAAAUAAACUUUGAUGGCUCUGUCCAGAACAAGGCUGCAGCUGGAGGAUUUGAUUUAAGAUCUGAUGAUGGAAAACCUCUUGUUUCUGCUGCCUUCAACUCUAGUACUGCCAGUGUUCCUCUUGCUGAAGCACUGGCGCUUAAAAACAGCUUAUUUUGCGCUAAGGAGAAAGGUGUGUUGAAGGUCGAAGUGGAGGGCGAUUCAAAACUCAUUAUUGACAUUGUGAAUGGAGUUUGUGAUCCCCCUUGGAGGCUUCUGAAGGUUGUUCAAGACAUCAAGUUGCUAAGUUGUAACUUUGAGUCCAUUAGGUUCAAGCAUGUUUUUAGGGAGGCCAAUUUUGUGGCCAAUGUUUUGGCAAAUCUAGGGCAUAGAGUUGAGAUUAGUAGGCUUUGGGUGGAGUGUGUUCCCCCAGAAGCCUCACUCGCUUUUGCGUUUGAUUCUACAAACCAAACUAAGACUACUGUCCUUUUCUCCAACCCCAACCUCUCUCUCUUAUUUUCCAUCAUGGAGUACUUCAUGACCAACUCACCGUCAAAAGGCGGCAACUCACCCUCCUCCUCUUCCUCAAAGUCCAAGAAGAAACCUCAGCAACAACAACCUCAGCAGCAACAGCAACAACAACAGGAGACGAGGUUCCUCGGAGUGAGGAGGAGGCCAUGGGGCAGAUACGCCGCCGAAAUAAGAGACCCUUCCACCAAGGAAAGGCAUUGGCUCGGAACCUUCGACACCGCCGAGGAAGCUGCCUUGGCCUACGACCGAGCCGCCCGCUCCAUGCGUGGCUCCAAAGCCAGAACCAACUUCGUCUACUCCGACAUGCCUCACGGCUCCUCCGUCACCUCCAUUAUCUCACCGGACGAAUCACAGCGCGACAUGUCUGCCUUCUUCACCGCUCCUCUCCAACCCCAAACGCAGAUGAUCACCACCCACAACAACAACAACAACAACAACAACCACCACCACCAGCAGCAGCCAUUUUUCACUCAGGACCCGUUUGAAGCCUACCCGUUUUCUGGCGGGUCGUAUGGCUCUUAUGGACCCGGGUCGGGCUGUGGUAAUGGUGAUGGAGCCGGGUCUCAUGACAAUGAGCUGCCACCUUUGCCUCCAAGUGUCUCCUCCACUUGUUAUGGGCCUGGGGAAGUUAUGGGCUCAGACUUUUACGGGUUCUCCGAGCCCACUACUACACAAGGCUUUGAUUCCAUUGCCAGUGGGUCGUACAUGGGCUUUGACUCGAAUGAGUUUGUGCAGCACAGCCCACUCUUUGGGAGCAUGCCGCCGGUAACGGAUUCCGGUAUCGAUGGAUAUCAUACAUUUAGCAGAAACUUGAAAAUGUCUGGACUGGACUUCAGUAUCGAAAUGGGGGACGUAGGAAUUGCAGUACUACAGGAAUUAUGGAAUAAGGUGGCGUUUCAGACCAUGGGGCUUGUCAGCGAAACAAGGGAUGUGUUGUUUGAAAAGGACAGCUUUUUGGAGUUCUCCAGGAGCAUUUCCGAGCUGAAUAUCCUCCUCAGCAGCUUAAAUGCCCAGAAGGUUGAGAAUGCACUAGGUUUAGAGUCCACGAGAGAGGUUUUGACAACAUUGAACCAGCAAUUGAAGAAAGCAAGCAAGAUCAUCAAGGAUUACAAAUAUGGAAGCCGCCUCCGUCUCUUGCUUAAAUCUCACUCUAUUCUCUUGCAGAUGGAGCAUUUAGCUAAAGAUAUUGCCAAGACUAUCUCCUCAUUUCAGCUGGUCAAUCUUGAUACUGCAAUGAACUUGAAUACUAUGACUAGCCAGAUCAUCAACAAUCUGGGAUCUAUGGAAUUCAGGUCAGCAGCUGCAACAGAAAAAAUUGCUUCCGAGAUGGAGAGUUCAUUAUCAGAAAAUAUGAAGAAUAGAGAGAAUGCUAAAAAGCUCCUGGAGAAGAUUGCCGAAGCUGUUGGUGCUAGGCCAAGUGCAUCUUUGGUACAAAAUGAGUUGGCACUUCUGAAGCAAGAGAAAGAAGAGAUGGAAGCUCUAAAAAUGCAGGCAGAGGCGCUUCAGCUAUCUCAACUGAUUGAGUUCCUUUACAGUACCGAUGUCGUCACAAGGCCAGUUGAUGAGGAAACAGCUUCUACUCACCACCAGUUAUACCCGAUUGGUUCAUUCAUAUGCCAAUUGUGCACCAAGAUGAUGACAGACCCAGUAGCAAUUCACUGUGGCCACAGCUUUGAGAGGGAGGCGAUUCAGGAACACUUUAGACGAGGAGAGAGGAACUGCCCCACCUGCAGACAGGAACUUUCAUCUCUAGAUCUCACUCCUAACCUUUUGCUUCGGAACUCUAUAGAAGAAUGGAAUGAGAGAGACAUGGACUUCAAAUUCCAAGCUGCAGUGGCUGGAAUCAAAUCCAGUGACCAUUCACAACAGGAUAUAGCCUUGGAGGAUCUGCAAAUUUUCCUGGAAAGGCCUAGAUAUGUGACCAAAGCUGCAGAGGAAGGACUUGCAACAAAGUUGGUGGUAAUCUUAAAAGAUGAUAGGGUAAAUGCUGGUGCAGCAUUGAAAUGUCUAUACUAUCUAUCCAACAAUGAUGAUCAAAAGGAAACUAUUGUCUUAGCAGGAGGAAUUCGCAGAAUAGUGAAACAUAUCUGUAAAGGUGGAAAUGAAUGCUAUGCCCUCGCAGUCUUGUUGAAGUUGUCUGAAAAGGAAAGCCUUGCAGAAAAGAUGGGAAAUACAAAAGAUUGUAUUCCCCUUGUGGUUUCUUUACUCCAUAUAGAUAACCCAGAUGUGUCUCAAAAAGCUAGUAAGGUGCUGCAGAACCUCUCCUCCAACGUCCAUUUUGUUGUCAAGAUGGCUGAAGCAGGACACUUCCAACCUUUUGUAGCUUGCUUCAACAAUGCGGCAGGGGAGACCAGAACUCUUAUGGCUGCGGCCUUGGUGAAAAUGCAACUGAAAGAGAAUAACAUUGAUGACUUAAGAGAACAGCAAUUCAUCCACAAUCUAAUUCAGAUGCUCUCUUCCAGCUCCCCAGCAUCCAAAUCGGCUUGCCUAAAAUGUAUCAAGAAACUUGUAGCCCACCACAAGAUUGUAGAACGCCUUCUGGAAGACGCUGUCACCAUACCACAUUUGCUUGGUCUCAUCUCAUUUAACAGGUUUGAUCCACAAUUGAAACAAGGAGCUGCUGAGAUUCUUGCUAAACUGAUUGGAGACAGUGAACAAUUUGAGCAACCAAAGUAUCAGGGCUUGCAAGAGCUGCAAUCCAAGCACAAUGUUAGUUUACUGUUGGAGAUUAUAACCAGUGCUGAAGAUCAGACCAAGAUUCAGUUUUUACACCUACUCGUUGAGCUAAGCUCUAAAUCAGAGAUAACCCGUGAUUUGAUACGAACAGACAACGAUGCAAUUGUUCAACUCUUUUCAUCCCUUUACAGUGACCAUCCCGAGGUGAGAAGGUGCGCAAUGAAACUUAUAUACUGCAUAUCCGAAGGUCAUCCUGAUGGAGUUCCACUACCGACAUCCCCUGAAAAAGAAACAGCCAUUACCAACCUAGCAUCCAUCCUCAUAAAUUCACCAGAUACUGAAGAAAGGUCUGCGGCUGCAGGUAUUAUCAGCCAGCUUCCUCGGAAUGAUAGUAGCAUUGAUGAGAUACUCCGAAAAUCGGAUGCACUGAAAGCCAUUCAUGGGGUAAUUUGCAGCAUGGAUGAUGAUAUUAGUGGGAACAUAGGAUCUUCCGACCUAGGCACAUCUCUACUAGAGAAUGCUCUAGCAGCCCUGUUGCGCUACACAGAACCCUCCAAACCUGAUCUCCAGAGGCAAUUGGGAAAGCUUGAACUAUACCCAUCACUAGUUCGUGUACUGACACGUGGCAGCUCACUAGCUAAGCGGAGAACAGCAACUGCACUUGCUCAGCUAUCCCUAUCCACUAGCCGGUCAUUCUCUGACGAAAACAUCAUGCCACAACAAACCAAGCCCUCCAUGCCCUUCUUUCUCAAGAAUGUCUCCAGUAUGUGGUGCUGCUCAGCAUCAUCACAUAAUUACAGUUCAUGUUCUGUUCAUGGUGAUGCUUGUUCACCAAGAGAUGCCUUCUGCCUGGUCAAGGCUGAUGCUGUGAGGCCACUAGUGAUGACUUUGAGUGACACAGAGUCGGGUGUGGCAGAGGCAGCUCUAAUGGCACUUGAAACUAUGCUAAUCGAUCACAGCAGACGACCACAGUCAACUGCUGCGAUUGUGGAUAGCCAGGGUGUGGCAGCCAUUCUACAAGUCUUGGACAAGGGAUCUGUAUCUGCCAAAACCAAAGCCUUAGAGCUCUUUCAGAAGAUUCUAUUACAUACAAAGAUUGGUGGACCUCUAAUGCAGAAGUUUGAGAGGAUACUUAUCCAACUUCUCAGCGAUGAUGACCUCAAGAAAAAAGCAGCUUUGACACUGAGGUUGCAGAGUGCUUUUGACUUGUUUCCCUAUCGUCAGCAGAAGAAGCUUUUUGUAACAGUGAGGCGGGUCAAGGCCGCCCAAGGCGGUCCAAGGCAGAUCAAGGCGGGUGAUGGCGGGUCAAAGCGGGUCGUGGCUGGUCAAGGCAGGCAUAAGCGGGUGAAGGCGGGUCCAAGGCAGGUCAAGGCACACAAAGGCGGGUCCAGGCAACCCAAGGCAGCCCAUGGCGGUCCAAAGCAAGUCAAGGCGGUUCAAGGCGGGUCAAGGCACACCAAGGGCGAGUCAAGGCACACCAAGGCAGAUCAAGGCGGGUUAACUGGGUCAAGGCGGUCCAAGAUGAGAGAGAUGGAUGUUGAAGCAAAAGGUAUUGAUCAGAAGGAAAAGGAUCUGAAUGACUGGCUUCCCAUCACAAGUAAUAGGAAUGCAAGCUGGUGGUACUCUGCUUUCCAUAAUGUCACCGCCAUGGUUGGUGCUGGUGUGCUUGGUCUUCCCUUUGCCAUGUCUCAACUUGGAUGGGGACCUGGAGUCACUGUGAUGGUUCUGUCAUGGAUUAUCACCCUAUACACCUUAUGGCAGAUGGUAGAGAUGCAUGAGUCGGUACCGGGGAAGAGGUUUGAUAGGUACCAUGAGUUGGGUCAACAUGCCUUUGGAGAGAAGCUAGGCCUUUGGAUUGUGGUGCCACAGCAACUAAUGGUGCAAUUUGGUGUGUGCAUUGUCUAUAUGAUUACUGGUGGUAAAUCACUGCAGAAGAUCCAUGAUACUGUUGCCCCUGGAAAACCAAUCAAAACCACCUACUUCAUCAUGAUCUUUGCUGCUGUCCACUUUUUUAUCUCUCACCUUCCUAGCUUCAAUUCCAUUGCUGGUAUUUCUCUUGCUGCAGCUAUCAUGUCCUUGAGCUACUCUACAGUUGCCUGGGGAGCUUCACUUCACAAAGGGGUUCAACCAUUGGUGCAGUAUGGCCCCAGGGCUUCAACCACCGCAGGAAAUGUGUUCAACUUCUUUAGUGCUUUGGGAGAUGUAGCUUUUGCUUUUGCUGGUCACAAUGUGGUUUUGGAGAUUCAAGCAACAAUUCCUUCUACACCUGACAAGCCCUCCAAAAAACCAAUGUGGAAGGGUGUGAUGCUUGCAUACCUUGUGGUGGCUUUGUGCUAUUUUCCAGUUGCUCUUAUCGGUUAUUGGGUGUUCGGAAACAGUGUUCAGGAUAACAUCCUCAUAUCAUUGGAGAAACCUAAGUGGCUUAUUGUUAUUGCUAAUGCCUUUGUUGUUAUUCAUGUCAUUGGAAGUUAUCAGGUCUUUGCCAUGCCGGUGUUUGACACAAUAGAAUCAGCUCUAGUGAAACAGAUGAAGUUCAAACCAUCUUAUUCUCUUCGCUUUAUAUCACGAAAUAUAUUUGUUGCAUUGACCUUGUUCAUCGGAGUCACAUUCCCUUUCUUCGGUGGGCUUCUCAGUUUCUUUGGAGGAUUUGCUUUUGCUCCCACAACAUACUUUCUUCCUUGCAUCAUGUGGCUUGCCGUCUACAAACCUAAGAAGUUCAGCUUAUCCUGGUUUGCAAAUUGGAGAGUCAGAGUGAUGCAGCUCCUCCAAACCCCUCACCACUUCCUCUUCACCUUCCCCAAAACCCUAAACCCCCAACCCAAAUGGACCACCACUCCCCAUCCCCACCUCUCCUUCAAAUCCAAGGCCUUCAGCUCCGACGAGUUCCCCGUCGACGAGACCUUCCUCCAGAACUUCGGCCCCAAAGACAAAGAAACCGAGGACGAGGCCCGCAAGCGCAACUGGGUCGAGCGCGGCUGGGCCCCAUGGGAGGAGAUUCUCACACCUGAAGCCAACUUCGCCCGCAAAUCCCUCAACGAAGGCGAGGAAGUCGCGCUCCAGUCGCCGGAGGCCAUCGAGGCGUUUAAAAUGCUCCGGCCGAGCUACCGGAAGAAGAAGAUGGAGGAGAUGGGCCUAACUGAAGACGACUACUACAAGAAACAGUUUGAAAUCAAAGGGAAUAUUCCGGCGCCGUUGGAGACUUCGUGGGCCGGGCCGUUGGUGGUGAGACAGGUGCCACCGAGGGAUUGGCCGCCGAGGGAUUGGGAGGUGGAUAGGGAGGAGCUGGAGUUUAUAAGGGGAGCGCAUAAGCUGCAGGCGGUGAGAGUGAAGGUGGGUGAUUUGGAGAGUGGGGAGAAGAAAGUGGAGAAUGAUGAGCUGUGUUUGGAUAGGUAUAAGGUGUUUUUGAAGCAGUAUAAGGAGUGGGCCGCCGCGAAUAAGGAUCGGUUGGAGGAGGAGUCUUAUAAGUAUGACCAAGAUUACCAUCCCGGGAGGAGGAAGAGAGGCAAGGACUACAAAGAGGGCAUGUAUGAACUUCCGUUUUAUUACCCCGGACAAAUCUGUGAAGGAAAAGUGACAUCUAUACAUCUGUAUCAAGGAGCAUUUGUGGACAUUGGAGGUGUAUAUGAUGGGUGGGUUCCUAUAAAAAAUAAUGACUGGUACUGGAUCCGUCAUCACAUAAAAGUUGGUAUGCGCUGCAUGGUUGAAGUUCUGGCUAAACGAGAUCCUUAUCGCUUUCGGUUUCCAAUUGAAUUGCGGUUUGUCUAUCCGAAUAUAGACCACCUUAUCUUUAACAGAUUUGACUUUCCACCAAUAUUUCAUCAUGAUGAAGAUACUAAUCCAGAUGAAUUACGGCGUGAUUGUGGAAGACCUCCAGUGCCCAGGAAGGAUCCAAAAGAUAAACCCGUAGAGGAACCUUUAUUGUCAAAUCACCCUUAUGUUGAUAAGUUGUGGCAGAUACAUGUUGCUGAACAGAUGAUUUUGGAUGAUGUGGAGGCUAAUCCUGACAAAUACAAAGACAAAAAACUGUCAGAGUUAACUGAUGAUGAAGAUUUAAAUGAAGAAAACAGUAUUGAAUAUACAAAAGCUUAUUAUAAGAAGACCUUAAUACCAAAAGUGAUUAUGAAAACUAGCGUUAAAGAACUUGACCUGGAGGCUGCCUUUGCUGAGCGUCAGUUACGUAAUACACUAAGAAAGGAAACAGAAGAGAGAGGAGAGGAAUACAAAGUUACCAAAAUGAGGCGCAAUAUUGAGAUGGACGAAUAUGACUUCUUACAUUGGCGUCGAUCAUUGGAGGAAAGAGAAGCUUUUAUCAGAGAUAUAAGCUGCCGUAAAGCUCUUGGUCUACCACUGGAAGAGCCAGGGAGGUAUGUGGAGGACAGCUACUUUGGGAAGGAUCAAUAUGACCCAGACAACCCUCUAUACCGGUAUGACUACUGGGGGGAACCAAAAAACUCAGAGAAAAGCAAGCAAGAACGGCUGACAGAUGCUCACAACAAAUCUAUUGUUGGAAAGAGUAACAUUUGGUAUGAAAUGUCAUAUGAUGAUUGCAUCGAACAGCGGAUGAAAAGAGAAGCCAAGGGGAUAAAACCAAGAGAAUAUGAGGAGGAAGAUACAAACAUAGGUGGAGAUGAUGAAGACGACGACAAUGAUGACUUUGAUUUCAGCUUCUUGAAUGAAACCGUUGAUAUGAACAGCCAGCCCCAUGUUAAUGGGACAGAAUCUCCUGGAAUUUCAGAUGAGGGCAUCCGCAGACCCUCCAGGGUUCGGACCCCUCUGGGCCUCUGCAAGAGGUCUUCUUCAGUUAUGGCGGAUGCAUCUUCUCGCCUCAUGGUUUGGAUUUGGUUAGGGGUGUGGCCCAUGUUGUUUGUGAAGAUCUCCAUGCAGGCUGGGAUUAGUCCUGGAUGUGCUGCCCAGGUUCCAUCAUGUCCUGCUUUCACUUCUCUUAGCUUGUCCUUCCUCACCAAAUCCAAUGCUGCUUCAUUUGCUACUGGAUCAUCUCUAAUUGAAAUGCUUACACCUAGGCAUACACAAAUAAUGGAAUUCAAUAAUCACAUACCAUGCCUCCCAUGGCGUGGACGCCGCGCCUAUGGCAGGGAGGUAGAAGAAAGGUCCAGACCCUUCACCUUGGGUUCGACUGAAAGCUGCAUAGUUGUGGUAGAAGUAGAGACCAAAGUCCACAAGGCAACCAGUUGCAGGCUCACCAUCAAUGAAAAUAUGAGCCUCAGGCAAGUGCCAACCUCUUGGACGCACAAAAAGCUUGGCUAUGUUGCAAUCAUUGAGCUUGUAGACUCUGUUCCUCGCCUUAUCAUGGAAAGUUAUGCUCCCAUCCACAGCAUCUUUCAGGUUCACUUGACCCCUUAUAAGGUUCUCCCAGCUUGGAAUGGUUUCUCUGGUGUUAAGCUGAGCCAUGGCCGGCAUGAUGCUGUCAAAUUUGGGGAUGAUCAUGAAGUGCGCGAUUCGCGAAGAUGGAGAGGUCAAUCAAAGGCCUCAGAAUCGUUGCUUGAGACCAGAAAAACUCCCGAGAAGGAGAAGAGGAAGUUUUCUCCUGUUAUAUGGGACAGAGAAGAGAAGAAGGUGAGAGUAUCAUCGAACAAUGGAGCUGUUCCAGUCUCGGUUGUUUCUCGGUCAUCUCCUGUAAAGAGAUCGCCAAGAUCAUCAUCUUGUGAUGUUAAUGGUGUCGAUAAUGUUCAAUUGCCUCCUGAGAAGAAGAGGAAGUCUCCGGUUACGAGUGACAGGGAAGAAAAGAGAGUGAGGAUAUCAUCAAAGAAUACAGUUGUUCCGGUCAUCCCUCCUCCACCUAGUGUUGUUUCAAAGUCUCCUACUUCUGAGACUCAGUCUCACGAAGUGGAGGGUUUUGAAGAUAGAUUGGUGGAGAAUUCUAAACUGGAAUUCCCUGCUGUUUUGCAUACUCGGCGGCAUUCCGAGGAACAAAAUAAUCUGGAUGACAAAGACUUGCAGGAGACCAGAAUCCCAUUGUCAAGAUGGUCAUCUGACACUGACUAUCCAAGCAAUGAUAGCUGCAGCUCGACUCCUGAAAGUUGCGAAAUCGGAAGAGAAGCCUCAGUUCGUGAAAGGAGCAGAACUUCCAGCUCUGUCAGUAGAGACGGUGGAGAAGAGAUCAAUGGAGAUGUUGGCAAUGCAGGGGUUGAUCAGUCGUAUCCUGAUUCAGACGACGUCGUUCUUCCACUGAUAGAAGAGCCAGCAGCACCCAGGGGAAGAAUUACAACCAUGCUACAGGGCUGCAGAAGUAUAGAGGCAUAUACUGAUCGAGAGAAGCUAGGUGAAGGUACUUAUGGUGUUGUGUACAAAGCCAGAGAUAAACAAACUGGGGAAAUUGUAGCCAUUAAGGAGGUGAAGAUGGACAAGUGCAAUGAAGGUUUCCCUAUUACAGCAUUGAGAGAAAUAAACAUUUUGCUGUCUUGUAAUCAUCCUUCAAUUGUGGGUGUGAAGGAAGUUGUUAUGGAAGAGCAUAGGGAAGUUGAUGAGGAAAAACUUGAUGAUAUACAUAUGGUUAUGGAGUAUAUGGACUAUGAGCUCAAGUUUCUAAUGGAAUCAAUGGAGCAGCGGUUCAGUAUAGGCGAAAUUAAAUACCUGAUGAAAAGGCUGUUGGAGGGUGUAAAGCAUCUUCAUGACAAUUGGAUUCUUCACAGAGAUCUGAAAACCUCAAACAUCCUUUUGAAUAAGGAGGGUGAAUUGAAAAUAUGUGACCUUGGGAUGGCGCGCCAGUAUGGGAGUCCCUUGAAGCCUUAUACUACAUUGGUAGUCACUUUGUUGUAUAGGGCACCUGAACUUCUAUUAGGCCAAAAGCAGUACUCUACAGCAAUCGAUAUGUGGUCAGUUGGAUGUAUAAUGGCUGAACUUUUGACCAAGGAACCAUUAUUCAAUCCGAAAACGCCAGAAGAAAUUCCUCUGCUCGGCGCGAUUUUUGAAACUCUUGGUGCACCAAACGAGAGAGAUUGGCCUGGAGUAUCCAAAUUGCCAGUGUUUAAAACUAUUAAGAUUAAAAAGGGGGAGAACACUUUGCGCAAGAAGUUUUGUGGGACAAGUUUCACAGGAUCCCCAAUGCUUACUGCUUCAGGGUUGGAUUUACUGACAAAACUUUUAACAUAUGAUCCUGAGAAGCGGAUAACAGCGGAUGAUGCUCUUAGCCAUGACUGGUUUAAGGAAUACCCUGAACCUAGAGUUUUUAAACCUUCUCCUAGUGUUCAUGACAGCUACAUCCUCGAGCAGAAACGAGAAAGGGAUCGUCGACGGAAGCAGCAAGAGGAAAGUGAACGUCGACUGAAGCAGCAAGAGGAAAACUGCAGGGUCUCCUGGAAGGUACAGAUUAACGAAGAUGAGUCGCAAGGUUAUGUUGCUCGAUCUGUAUAUGAAGUUGCGGAGAGUAGUACUGUGUCAGCCAGUAGUCAGUCUCAGGGAGUGGAGGUGUCCGAAGCUGAAGCUUCUGUUGCUGAUGGGUUGGUGGAGAUUUCUCAAUCGGAAGCUCCGGCUGAGUUGCACACUCCACUAUGCAAAUCUGAGGCACAGAGUAACCUGCAUGAGAAUGACCGGACGAGGAUCCCAUUGUCAAGAUGGGCAUCUGACACUGAUUCUCCAAUGGAUGAUAGCUGUAACUCAACUCCAGAAAGUGGCGAAAUCCGAAGAGAUGACUCAGUUGGGCCUAGGAGCAGAACUUCUUGCUCUGAUGAAGAAAGCAACUCUGUCAGUGGAGAAGAGAUUGGUGGUGUUGAUGGGGAUGCAAGAGGUGACCAGCUGUACCCUGACUCAGAUGAUGAUGAAGCUCUUCCUCAGAUUGAAGAGUCUCCGGUUCCGAGAGGAAGAAGCACUAACAUGCUUAAGGGAUGCAGAAGUGUGGCAGAGUUUACUAAACUAGAUGGGAUGCUCGGUGAGGGCACCUAUGGUGUUGUCUACAGAGCAAGAGAUAAACAAACUGGGGAAAUUGUAGCCAUUAAGAAGGUGAAGAUGGACAAGUCCAAUGAAGGUUUCCCUAUUACAUCAUUGAGAGAAAUAAACAUUCUUUUGUCUUGUGAUCACCCUUCCAUUGUGGGUGUGAAGGAAGUUGUUCACAACGGUGAUGAUAUUUUUAUGGUUAUGGAGUGCAUGGAGUAUGAGCUCAAGCUUCUAACGGAGGCGACAAAACAGCCAUUUAGUAUAGGCGAAGUUAAAUACUUGGUGAAAAGUCUGUUGGAGGGUGUGAAGUAUCUUCAUGACAACUGGGUUCUUCACAGAGAUCUGAAAACUUCAAAUAUCCUUUUAAACAAGGAGGGUGAAUUGAAAAUAUGCGACUUUGGGUUGUCACGCCAGUACGGGAGUCCCCUAAAGCCAUAUACUUCCCUAGUGGUCACUUUGUGGUACAGGGCACCUGAACUUCUAUUAGGUCAAAAGCAGUACUCUACAGCUAUUGACAUGUGGUCAGUUGGAUGUAUUAUGGCUGAACUUUUGGCGAAGGAAGCCCUAUUCCAGGGGAAAACCGAAGUUGAUCAGCUUGAUAAGAUUUUCAGAACUCUUGGUACACCAACUGAGACAGAUUGGCCUGGGGUAUCCAAAUUACCUGGCUUCAAAGCCAUUCAGGUGAAACAACGGGAGAAUCUUUUGCGCAAGAAGUUUUCUGGGACAUGUUUCACAGGAUCCCCAAUGCUCUCUGCUUCAGGGUUGGAUUUGUUGACAAAACUUUUAACAUAUGACCCUGCGAAGCGGAUAACAGUCGAUGAUGCUCUUAGCCAUGACUGGUUCAAAGACUAUCCUGAACCCAGACCUUUCAAGCCUUCUCCUACUGUGCAUGACAGCUUCGCUCGGAGUGGUUUACCCCACCGCCGCUUCGCCCUCUUCCACCUCUGUUUCCUCUACCGCCACGGCUUCACCCGCCGUGGUUUCCCCCAUCGUCACCAUCCUUCCCAUACUCGCUCUGGUCAAAAGUCUCACCGACUCCCCCACCUCUCCAUUGCCCUCGGCCUCGGCCUCAGCGAGUCGAUAGCCACCAUAUUUCUUCCGCCGGACACGGCCUUCAGCACUCCGGACCUCUCUGAUACCACUUGUCCGCCAUUCCCCGUUAAUAGGUCAGCUUCAGCGCAUACGGCUCCGGCUUCGGUGAAGCCACCUCAGCAGAAAAUCUGGCAAGUGGGUGGCGUUCUACGCACCAUCGACUGCUUUAUCAUGAUUGCUUUCGUAGAGUCACAAGUUACGGAGUUCAGUGGGUCCACGCUCUUUGUCGAGGUGGACGAUGCUAUGGAGGAGUAUGCAAAUCUCAACUCCAACUACGCUCAGUUCUUCAUGGCGCGAGUCUUCCUGAAGCAGCAUCUGACAAAAGUUCUUAUCGAUUCAAAUUUUGCCGAUGAAGAAACCAAAGUUACCCUUCCUGCAGUGGAUGAGGAAGAGCAUAUUGCACCUGGGACUCCUUCAGAAGAGGACGGACUACUACUCGAUAUAUCCUUACAAAUGCUGGGUAUAUCGAGGACAUCCAUGGCUUCAUCAACCUAUGCUCUCAUCGCGCUCUUUGCGAUGGUUUCGAUAGCUGGCUGGCCUGUUCAGGCAACAUGGGACGGCGUGGUUCCAGUUGAGGCGAAUUUGACAGUAGGCGGAUACACUUUCAGAUUGAAUUUAAACAGUCCUGCAUAUCUUGAAGAAUUGAACGUAACGAAAUCAGAUUUUCCAACUGAUUUCGCUUUUGGAGUUGGUUCCUCUGCUGCACAGAUUGAAGGGGCAGCCAGAGAAUUUGGAAGAGGGCCAAGUACAUGGGAUCAUCGUGUUGAUAUUCUUCCAGGUAGUAUUCACGACAGCGACAAAUUGUCCACAGCAAUUGAUUCAUAUAGACGAUACAAGCAAGAUAUUGAGCUUAUUAAAGACCUCGGAGUAGAUUCUUACCGAUUCUCCAUCUCCUGGAGUAGGAUUUUACCGUAUGGAAGCUUAAGUGGCGGAAUUAACCAACAGGGUGUUGAUCACUAUAACAGUUUGAUCGACGAAUUGAUCAAAAAUGGUAUCAAACCUUACGUGACGAUUUUUCACUUUGACUUACCACAAGCCCUAGAAGAGAAGUAUGGAGGUUUCUUGAAUCGCUCUUUUGUGGAUGAUUUUAGAGACUACAGUGAACUUUGCUUCAAAUUAUUUGGAGACAGAGUUAAGAAUUGGUUCACAAUCAAUGAGCCAUCAGUUUCUGCCGUAUACGGGUAUGAACUGGGAAUAGCUCCACCCGGAAAGUGUUCACUUCAGGAAGGAGUAUGUGUGUUUGGGACUUCAGAUAACUGUUUAGUCCCGGCAGGUCCAUGCAAUUUCGGUGGCAAUUCAUCCACAGAUCCUUACAUUGCAGCACACAACCAAAUUCUUGCUCAUGCCACAGCAGCAAAGCUUUACAAAGAAAAAUACCAAUCAACUCACAAGGGUGAGAUUGGAAUCGUUCUUGUUUCUAGACACUAUAUGCCAUUUACGAAGAAGCAGGAAGAUAUAGCUGCAGCAAAACGACGUUUCGACUUCACCCUAGGAUGGUUUAUGGAUCCAUUUGUGUAUGGAGAUUAUCCGAAGAGUAUGAAGGAGUUAGUGAAAGAAAGACUGCCUACAUUUUCUCCAGAAGAGCAAAGUUUGAUCAAGGGAAGUCUUGAUUUUGUUGGAAUCAAUUACUACAGUUCAACUUAUGCUAGAAACAAGGCACCAUCUAAAGAAUUGCGCUAUAGUUAUGAUGUAUCAGCCGACGAAAUAGGACUUAGUACGACUAGAAAUGAUGAGCUUCCAUUUGCGGAUCAACUGAAAGAUCCGGAAAGAAUUGCAUACAUUGUUCGUCAUUUGUAUCGUAUCAACAAGGCAAUCAAGAAGGGAGUAAACGUGAAAGGCUACUUCUUCUGGGCAAUGUUUGACGACUUUGAAUGGGGGCUAGGUCAUCCAUCUAUGGCUUCAUCAACCAAGUUUUCCGGUGUUGUUAUCGUUGCGGUUUCUGCCAUCAUGGCUUCGAUUGCCGGCUGUUAUGCCCGGGCAACUAUUCCAGAUUUUAAUGGUGGUGUGGCAGGAAAAUUGAAAUUAUACAGUAGUAGUGCAUUUCUCGACGAAUUGGAUGUUUCAAGAUCAGACUUCCCAGCUGAUUUUACGUUUGGAGUUGCUACCUCUGCCGCACAGACUGAAGGUUCAGCCAGAGAAGGAGGGAGAGGACCAAGUACAUGGGAUCAUCGCGUUGAUAUACUGCCAGAUGCAAUAAUAAACAGCGACAAAUUUUCUACAGCAAUUGAUUCAUAUAGACGAUACAAGGAAGAUAUUAAGAUUAUCAAGGACCUCGGAGUAAAUGCUUACCGAUUCUCCAUCUCCUGGAGUAGAAUAUUACCAAAGGGAAGCUUAAGUGGGGGAAUCAACCAAGAGGGUAUUGAUCACUAUAACAGCUUCAUUGACGAUUUGAUCAGAAAUGGAAUCGAACCUUUCGUGACGAUUUUACACUCCGACCUUCCACAAGCUCUGGAAGAUAAGUAUGGUGGUUAUUUGAACCACUCAUUUGUGAAUGACUUUAAAGACUAUAGUGAAAUUUGCUUCAAAUCAUUUGGAGAUAGAGUUAAAAAUUGGUUCACGAUUAAUGAGCCGACAGUGUCUGCAGUUUACGGCUAUGAACUUGGAAUCGCCCCGCCGGGAAAGUGUUCACUCAAGGAAGGAGUAUGUGUGUUUGGGACUCCAGACAACUGUUUAGUUCCGGCAGGACCAUGCAAUUUUGGUGGUGACUCUAGCACAGAACCUUACAUUGUAGCUCACAACCAAAUUCUUGGUCAUGCAACCGUGGCUAAGCUCUACAAAGAAAAAUAUAAAGCACAACAAAAGGGUGAGAUUGGAAUCGUCCUUGCUUCAAAAUACUAUGUGCCUUUCUCCAAUUCACCUGAAGAUAAAGUCGCGGCAGAACGGCUUUUCGACUUCAACCUAGGAUGGUUUAUGGAACCAUUUGUAUACGGAGAUUAUCCAAAGAGUAUGAGAGAGUUGGUGAAGGAAAGACUGCCUAGUUUUUCUGCACAAGAGCAAAGCUUGAUCAAGGGAUGUCUAGAUUUUGUUGGGAUUAAUUACUACACAUCAAGUUAUGCUAGACAUAAGACACCACCACCAUUAGAACAAUUUCGCUAUUCUUUUGAUAUAUCUGCCGAAGAAACAGGUAUGAAGGAUGGAGAUUUCCUAGGCAUGGACCAUGAAGGGCACUGGCCAGAAGGGCUGCAGAAACUGAUGGAGUAUAUGAUGGAAAAAUACCAAAAUCCAAAAAUCUAUAUUUCUGAAAAUGGACUUUACACAACACGAAACGAUGAACUUUCGCUUGUUGAUCAACUAAAUGACACAAAUCGAAUUUCAUUCCUUGUUCGACAUUUGUAUCGUCUCAACAAGGCGAUUAAGAAUGGAGUGAAUGUGAAAGGAUACUUCUACUGGUCUCUCUUCGAUGAUUUCGAAUGGGGAAUGGGGUUUUUGCAUAGAUAUGGACUAUACCAUAUCGAUUUCGAUCACAAUAACAGGCGCAUCCCCAAACAGUCUGCUGACUGGAAUGAUUUUAAGGAUUACAGUGAACUUUGUUUUAAGAUCUAUGGAGAUAGGGUAAAAAACUGGAUUACAAUCAACGACCCAUUAGUUAUGGCGAAAAUGGGUUAUGAUCUGGGGGUUGCUCCACCAGGCAGGUGUUCAGUACGAGCACCACAAAACAAGAUUGAAUGCAAAGAUGGUAAUUCAUCUACUGAGCCUUAUAUUGUGACCCAUAACUUGAUCCUCUCUCAUGCUACUGUUGUUGAGCUCUAUAGAGAGAACUUUCAGUCUAAACAAGGUGGAAAAAUUGGAUGGUCUCUUGUUGGUCAGUAUGUUGAGCCUUAUUCAGAUGCAGCAGAAGACAAAGCUGCAGCGAAAUCGAAAUUGGAUGUAUAUGGGGAUUAUCCAAAGAUUAUGAGAGAUUUGGUCAACGAAAGACGAACUAGUUUCACUGAAGAAGAGAAAAACUUGAUCAAGGGAUCCUUCGAUUUCAUUGGCGUCAACUAUUAUACCACAAGAUAUGGUAAAAAUGCUCCAGCAAGUCAAGCUGAACCAUUGAGUUAUCACAGUGACUCUUUGGCUACAUCAACUGAAACAAAUGCAAAUGGAGUCUUAAUCGGUCCUCAUGUUGAUGGAAGCUUCUACAUCUUCUCAUAUCCGGAAGGUCUUCAGAAGCUUUUGGAGUUCAUGAAGCAAAACUACCAAAGUCCUACAAUCUACAUUACUGAAAAUGGAAUCACAGAGGCUAGGAAUGACACGCUUGCACUCGAUGCGCAACUCAGGGAUCCUCAUAGAAUCGAAUGCAUUCUUCGACUCUUGUACAGGAUCAAGAUGGCAAUGAAGAAUGGGGUGAAUGUCAAAGGGUAUUUCCACUGGGCACUAUUCGAUAACUUUGAGUGGGCACAAGGCUAUACUCCAAGGUUCGGGCUAUACUAUGUCGACUACAAAGACAAUCUCAAGCGCAUUCCUAAACAAUCUGCACAGGCCACCACCACCAAGAACCUCCUCCUCUCCUUCACAAUCUCCCCAGACGCUUUUCGAUACCCGAUUCCGAAAUCCAAACAGGGCCUAAACCCUUCCCCAUUAGGCUGCUCCCAGAAUUCCCGCUCCGCCGAGGAAAGAUUAGCCCCAAAGGCCCCAUGUGCCGGCAGCGGCACCAUCACGCUAUCCGAAAGCAGCCUGUGGUCUUCGAUAAAGCCCGAAGAGGCUUUCGGGGAAAUGUGGGAGAGGGAAGGAGUGGAGGGUGCAGAGUGGGAACAGGGGAGGAGUGGGAGGAGGUUGAGGAUUGAGAUUAUCAAGAAAGUGAGGGAGAAAAUGAGAGUGAGGAGGAGGAUUGUGGGAGAUGAAGAUGAGGAGGAGGACGAGGCGAAGAAGCGUCUGCAAAGUGCGGGGUACGAGCAGGUUCUGGAGAGAGAGGAUUGGAAUUUGGAGGCUGGUAAAAAGUACUUCUUCACCAGGAACUACUCCACUAUUGUGGCCUUUGCAAUCGGUAAAAAAUAUGUUGCCGGAAAUGGAUUCCAUGUAAUUGGAGCUCACACUGAUAGUCCAUGUCUCAAAUUGAAGCCUGUUUCCAAGGUGACUAAAGGUGGGUUCUUGGAAGUGGGAGUCCAAACAUACGGAGGCGGCUUGUGGCAUACCUGGUUCGACCGUGACUUGACGAUAGCAGGGAGAGUGAUAGUGAGAGAAGAGAAAGAUAGUUCUGUUUCUUACUCGCAUAGACUUGUCCGGAUUGAGGAGCCCAUCAUGCGGAUUCCUACUCUGGCAAUUCACUUGGACAGAGGUUUGAGAUUUGGACUGCAAUAUGCAGCUGCUCAUUUCUAUUGGCUCGCUCUUGACAGGGAUGUUAGAGAGGCGUUUAAGGUGAACACACAGAGUCACCUUCUUCCUGUCUUGGCAACAGCGGUCAAGGCAGAGCUCAAUAAAGGAGUUGAAAAAAGUGGCCAAUCUAAGGAGACAACCUCAAUCAACUCAAAGCAUCACCCGCUUCUGUUACAGGUCAUCAAAUCCGCAGUCUCAGCUGCCCAGAAGCUUCAGAUUGAACCCAAACACAGCCCUGACUCGGUUCUGAGCUUGUUCAAAACCCAUGGAUUGAACCAAACCCAGAUCAGGAACAUUAUAUCUAAACGCCCCAUGUUGCUUUUGGCUGAUUUCGAUGGAAAAAUUAGGCCUAAUUUGGAGUUGCUAAACUCCUUGGGGCUUUCAGGGACUAGCCUUGCCCAAGUGAUUCUCAAAGAGCCAACUGUGCUUGAGAGUGAUGCAAAAUCUGUGCUCGAGUGUUUUAGAAGUCAUGGUUUUAGUGAAGAGGAGAUAUUAACUCUCACUAUGAAGCUACCUACAUUGUAUACAUAUGAUGCAGAGAAGAAGAUUAAGCCAAAGUUGGAGUUUUUGAAGUCAGUUGGGUUUUCGGAACUUGACAUUGCGAGGGUUUUAUCCAGUGAGCCUUAUAUUCUUACUAGGAGCCUUGAAAACCAAAUCAUUCCGAGUAUUGAAAUUCUUAGGCGAGUGCUUGGUAGUGAAGAGGAUGUUGUGAAGGUUGUAAAGAGAUGCUACCGGAUACUUGAGAAACCUUUGGACAAGCUGCUUGAGCAGAAUAUAGAUGCAUUGAGCACCAAUGGAGUACCUCAAUCACUUAUUUCGAAACUUUUGGUGAUUCAUCCAGCAGUAUUGCUUCUAAGCCCGUAUCAAGUUUGUGAGGGUAUUGCUUUUGUUAAAAGUUUAGGUUUCAAUCCCAAUAGUCUGAAAUUUCUUCUCGCUGUGCGUUCUGUGGCGGGGAUGAGCAAAGCACUCUGGGAGCAGAAACUGGAAACUUUUAGGAGUUGUGGCAUGUCAAAAGAUGACAUUGAUUCAGCAUUCAAAGUGCAACCCAUGUGUAUGGUUGUUUCGGUGAAGAAGAUUCAGAAAAUGAUGAAUUUCUACCUGAGUAAAGUGCAUUUGAAUCCCUUGGCUAUUCGCAAGAAUCCAAAACUUUUAUUUUAUAGCCUGGAGAAGAGGGUUAUUCCUAGGUGUUCAGUUCUGCAACUUCUAUUGUCUCAUGACUUGAUAAGGGAAGAUAGUAAUUAUUUUGUUCAUGUUAUCAGAAUGAAUGAGGAGGCUUUCAAGGAGAAGAUAAUAAGCAAGUAUAAAGAUGUGGUUCCAGAUGUUAUCAAGGCACACAAAGAUUGGCUUAAAGUGCAGCAGAAUGAGCAAAUGAUAAAGGAUGACCAAAUCUCUUGGCCUGAAGAUGCACUAGGCCUAUCAAAGAGGAAUCACAUUGGAUCCAAAUGGCCGGAAAAGAAAAGAGAUCCGGUGGAUAUUAACCUUGUUCAGUGGCCACAUAGUGAUGACUCCCCCGCCAACAGAGCCAGGCCUGUGAAUCUGAGAAGCAACAAUGAACUGGUUCCUCAGGCACAAAAGACCUCUAGGAGGAGAAGCACAGGAAGAAUCCGAUCUCGCGCCGCCGCGUCACGGCGGAGACACCGCCGCCGCGCAUGUCUUCCGCUCCCUCUGCCAGCCAAUUUACUCGACUCGUGCCAGCCGGCGACCACGGAGGCCUCUAGAGUUUUGGAUGUCCUGCAUGAGAUUUUGGAGCGCACCUUCUCCAAUUUGAACAAUGUCCAGAAGAACCUGCAGUUUUGGGAAUCUAGGGCUGAGGGAUCAAAAGGUCAAAAAAUUAAGUUUAUGGUGCUUGAGAGAGGUCCGCAGGCUUUUGUUGAGGGUUCAAUUCAGCUGUUACGUGGGUCUGAUGGUGAGGGUUCUUCCAUGCGGAAGAUGUGCCUAUCUGCAUCGGCUCACAUUUCUGAGAGGAUAGCGGUAUUGACUAGCUUAAGAUCUGCUCUUGCCACAUUUUUGGCUCAGUUUUACAUGGAAAUCGAUAAGUACGGAGAAGAGUUGGUGAAAAAUCCACAGAAUUCGUUGCCGGCCUUAUUAGAUAGAAUUAAUGACUUGUUCUUCAAAUUAGAGGUGUCUAUCGGCCAUCUCCAUGCCAUGCGCCCGAGUAAUUCGUCUGUUGAGGGAAGCUAUUCACUUCCACUGGUAUUUGAGAAAUUGCCUGAGAUAAAUCAAGACAGAUCCCAGUGGACAGACUCUGAAAUUAGGGAUUCAAUCAAUUUGAUUUCUCAAAAUUUGGAGAAACUAGAAUCUCAUUUAACUUUUAUAGUUGACAAACAUCGGAAACCAAAGAGAGUAACUCAAUAUUGGAUCCGCUAUACUUGUGGUGCUAUUGGCCUCUCAGUUUGUUCUGUGUGGCUCAUAAGACAUAGUCGUCUGUCAGGAAGUCAUGACAUAGAUAACUGGGUUCGAGAAGCUAAGGAUUCAACCAUCAGCUUUGUGCGUGAUCAUGUUGAGCAACCACUGCUGGCUAUUAGAGAUGAACUUUUUGAGACAUUCAGGCAACGGCACAAAGGAAUGAUGGAGCUUGAAGAAGUGCAACUAACCUCUAAUUCUCUUCACAGAAUGUUGUUGGCUUUCAGUGAGCAGACAAAAGGGCAAAAGUUCCCAGAGAAUGCAUCUGAUCAGGAAAUGCUUGAAAUAGUUAUGAAUAGGUAUGAGGAGGAACUUAAACAUCCUAUUCAUAACCUUGUAAACGGCGAGCUGGCUCGUGCAUUGCUGAUCCAGGUUCAGAAGCUAAAACUCGAUACUGAAACCGCCAUGCUUGAACUGAACCAGAUUCUGAGGGCAAAUGAGAUAAACUUUGCAAUCCUAGCUGCGUUACCAGCAUUCUUUCUGUCCCUCAUCCUACUAAUGCUAGUGCGUGCAUGGUUCAAACGGGAUACUAGAGCAGAAGGAAGGGGACGAGUUGCUCGGCUCCAGAGGAGGCUACUUGUUGUGGAAGUUGAGAAGAGGAUUAUGCAGUAUCAAACUUUUGUUGAUCAAGGGAUGGAGAAAGAAAAAAUGGACAUGUUCGGAAUGUUGUUGUAUAGUCUGGAUCGCCUAUACCAUGCUGUCAAGGGGCACGCAAAAGCAACUGGGGAAUGGCAGUGGUUGUCUCAGGAUAUAAUUGACCUGGCAAAGCCCAGCCUUCAAACUGCAAAUAAACUCAGAGCGACCUCGCGUAUGGAACGGGUUUAUGACUGUCUGCUUCCUGCAUUGCAGCGCCAAAUGUCUUCGACGCCGAUUCCCGAGAAGCUUUACUAUUUCAGCAAAGUAUUUCAAAGAGAUAUAAGACAACCAAGGCCGAAAUUGGAGAAUCGGGUUCUGGUCGAUUGCCAACUCCUGAGCAGCGUUAGCUAUUAUGAUGACACAACCCUCAUCACCGCUGAACAGUCAUGGAGUACAGGGGCAACUGACAUUCCUUUCUCAAAUGAGUACAUCAGACCAGAAUAUUCAGAACUCGUAGAACUCAUGGCCACAGAGCUUUUGGUGUUGGGGGUUCCACAAGAGGAGCAACGAACUAUCAUUCAAAAACUUUAUGAUGUGGUUCAGGUUCUCCGCCCCGAGCGGCGCAUUGUUGUGUUUAUAGCUGAGCUGACUAUAAGGUUCUUGGGUAGUUUUCAUGAUUUGGAUACCUUGCUUACAGUGAUGGAUCCGAUUAGUUUUACUAUACCAUCUGGUGAGGUUGAUGGAUGCUUCGAAAUACGUCUUAGUGGUUUCGACUAUCAUGGUGUCACUGAUACUGGGGUUUUACAAGAAUCGUUUGAAGCUCACACGGUUAAGUUUGUUCCUGCAACUAGAUCAUCCAUUGAGAGUUUAAAGAUAGUGAGACUCGAUAGUUUGGAACAAGUCGCUACCAAACAGAUAUCGAUUGCAUUUCUCAGUGGCUGGAGAGAAGUCACUUGUGCCCCUUGUGUCGAUACGCCCUGCCAACUGUGGAAGAUCAUGGUAUAUACUGUGGAACACGGAGAAGUCUUGAGGUUAAAAGUUUCUAGGGAGAUGAAGAGGGCAAAUGUGGAACCUGACCAGGUUGCGCUAGUGGCACGUAUGGUGGAGGCGGUGAUGGUGAAGGUGGUGGUGGAGACUUGUAAACGUAAGGAGGUGGCGGUGAUGGAGAAGGAGGAGGCGGGGACUUGUAUACAUAUGGUGGAGGUGGUGAUGGUGAUGGCGGAGGUGGAGACUUGUAGACGUAAGGAGGAGGAGGUGAUGGAGAUGGUGGUGGUGGAGACUUGUAUACGUAAGGAGGAGGUGGUGAUGGAGAUGGUGGUGGGGGAGACUUGUAAACGUAAGGAGGAGGUGGUGAUGGGGACGGUGGUGGUGGUGAUUUAUAAACGUAUGGUGGUGGCGGUGAAGGUGAUGGAGGAGGAGGUGACUUGUAAUGAUAUGGAGGUGGCGGUGAAGGAGAUGGGGGUGGUGGAGACUUGUAAACAUAUGGAGGUGGCGGUGAAGGUGACGGGGGUGGAGGAGACUUAUAGACAUAAGGAGGUGGAGGUGAGGGUGAGGGUGGCGGGGGAGACUUGUAAACAUAUGGAGGUGGGGGUGAAGGUGAUGGUGGUGGUGGAGACUUGUAGUGAUACGGAGGAUGUAUCACAUGCUUGGGCGGUGGCGGGGGUGGUGGUGACUUGUAAUGUGUCCGAAGUAUUAAGGAAAUUGGUAAGGAAAUAUAGUGGUAAAAGGCCAGAUGUUAUUCAUAUUGCCAUGGAGAACCCCGCAGCAGUUCUUGCUGAUGAGGUCAGUACUAGACUAUCCGGAAAGUCCCACGUUGGUUAUGACAGGUCAGCUUUGCGAAAAGUAAAUGAUGGAAAUUUAAACAAGAGUCGGUCAACUAGGACACAAUCAGAUGAAGCCAAGGACAACAUAGAGCUGCAGAGCAGCACUAUAGAGAAAGAUUUUGAAGAAGAGCCCAAUGAUAUCUGGAAUGCAAUGGUCAAGUUGUCAGCUGGUGACAAAUUAGCAGAAGAUAAAAAUGAUUUGGUUCUGCAAGAGGAAAAUCUAAAGAAAGAUGAUCCUGAAAGCACAGAAAGAACAAGUCCUUCAAAGCCUGUGAAACGGAACAAAUGGAAGCCCGAGGAGGUUAAAAAGUUCAUCAAAAUGCGUGGGAAACUGCAUAGCAGAUUUCAAGUUGUGAAGGGGAGAAUGGCAUUGUGGGAAGAAAUAUCUAGAAACUUGUUGGCUGAGGGGAUCAAUAGAAGCCCUGGUCAAUGCAAAUCUUUGUGGGCAUCUUUGGUUCAGAAAUACGAGGAAAGCAAGAGUGGAAAGAGGAGCCAAAAGAGUUGGCCAUAUUAUGAGGAAAUGGAUGGAGCUUUGUCUGAUUCAGAGGCAAUGGCAACAAAGACAACAAGUGAAUCCUCUGUGGCAAAUGCACUGAUGAGGCAUAUUUCAGCAGCUCAAGGGAGGGUUAUUACUACCCAGUUUGCUUCAAACAUACAUGGACUUGGAAGUGUGAAAGCUGCUGCUGAUGCUACUGGUAGAAAGUUGGAAUUUGUUGGUAUGUCCUUGAGGACAUAUCUUGAUGCAGCUUGGAGGGAUGGGAAGGCACCAAUUGACCCAUCAACCCUGGUGAAAGUGGAAGAUAUUGAUUCCUAUGCGCCAAAGGAUUUGCUAAUCGUCACAACUGGCUCUCAAGCAGAACCUCGUGCGGCGCUAAAUCUUGCAUCAUUUGGAGGUAGUCAUUCUGUCAAACUGACCAAGGAAGAUAUAAUUUUAUAUUCUGCUAAGCUACCUCAGCGGGAUACAUCAGAACUCGAUCAGCUAUCCUCAGCUGCUUCUUUCAUGAACACUUCCUGGGUUGCUGCACUACCAACUGAUCUCAUGGAAAGCAAGAGUGGAAAGAGGAGCCAAAAGAGUUGGCCAUAUUAUGAGGAAAUGGAUGGAGGUUUGCCUGAUUCAGAGGCAAUGGCAACAAAAGACGACGUGAAAGGUAUCAAGGAGAAGCUCCAAGAUCUCUCUAGCCUCCGCAGCCUCGGAUCUCUGCUUCAAACCAUUCGUGAGCGCCACAAGCGAUCCCUGCACGGAGCCGCGGAACUGCUCGAUCUUCUCCCUCAGCUCCACAAGCGGGGCCCGCAUCCGCACCACGGCGGAGUCGACAUCGACGAGCUUGGUGCUGAGGUUGACGAAGUCGGCGUAGUCGCGGUUGAUGAGGUCGAUGAGGUCGUGGUUGAGGGAGGCGAGGUAGGACUGGAGCUCGGAUCGGAGAGUGUCGAAGGGGACGAAGGUGCGGAGGUCGGAGAUGUAGGCCUCGGAGUCGAAGUCAGGGGAGAGGAAGAGAGAGGGCUUGAACCAGAGGGGGUGGGAGUCCAGGGGGUCGGAGAAGAAGUCGGUGUUGGAUCUGUGCGGUAUCAGGCUUCAAAGGAUGAUAUCACUGUGCUCGCAGCUCUUGAAAAGACCCCAUCCUCGCAAUAUGUGAAUGUGCUGCGGUGGUACAAACAUAUUGAGGCACUUCUGAAGAUUUCUGGUGUUUCCGGAGAAGGUUGUGGUGUCACUGUCAAAGGAGACGCCCCUGUCAUAGCAGCUGGAACAAAGGCCCCAGCUGGUGAAGAGGAAGAUGAUGAUGAUGUGGAUCUUUUCGGUGAAGAAACGGAAGAGGAGAAGAAGGCUGCUGAAGAACAUGCAGCAUCCAUCAAGGCAUCUGCAAAAAAGAAGCUCACCGUUGACGUUGAAUAUGCCGCAGCCGAACAAGUCGCCGAGGAACUCCGUGAGGGGCUUGCCUUUUGGGAAGUUAGAGAAGUUGGUCUUGAGAAUGUACCCACAUUGGCCGGGUUCGCCGUCACAAUGAUACGUUGCCCCACGCCAAGGCGUUGGACGACGAUAGUUUGUGAUGGCGAGGUGGACAACAUGUCGGUGUACCUUGAGAUAGGCCUUGAGAGGGAAGGAUUAUACUGCCUUGACCAAGCAAAGCAAGUGACAUGCAACUCGGUGACCACUAGAGCACUCCUCUUCCAGGCACAUCUGCCAAAAUCUUUCUGGGGAGAUGCCAUCCUUACAGCUGCAUAUCUCAUCAAUCGCAGUCCAACGCCUCUCUUGAACGGAAAGAGUCCUUUUGAAAGACUAUUCAACAAGGUACCUGCAUAUACACACCUCAAAGUUUUUGGAUGUUUAUGUUUUGCUUCUACUCAUCCUCUCAAACCCACAAAAUUUGAUCCUAGAGCAAAACAAUGUGUCUUUGUUGGUUAUCCACACGGUAAAAAGGGUUAUCGGGUAUAUGACAUAGAGGAAGAGAAAAUUUUUGUGUCUCGGGAUGUAUUAUUUCAUGAAGAGUCUUUUCCUUUUAGGGAUAAAAAUUCAGCAUUACCUACUUCACAUGGGAGUCCAACUUCUAGAGUUUCUGAGCCAACACCACCUUUUCCACCUACUUCACAUCUAAGUCUUGAUCUCUAUGAUGACUCCCCACCAACUGGUAUUCCUAUCGAAACAAAUGCUGAGCAUCCUGACUCCUCUCCAACUCAAACUCUUCCACCACCAGAUAAUCAUCCUACAUCGCAAAAUCCUCUAUCCUCAUCAUCAUCAAUUCUGCCCGAUCCUCCAAUACUCAAUAUCACGUCUUCUGAACAGCCAAGACGUUCAUCACACCCCACAAGGACUCCAACAUUCUUGCAAGACUUUCACGUGGAGGCAGCUCUUUCCUCUCGGUCUACCUCGUUAUCUUCACCGGACACAGGUGCCUCCCAUUCCUUAGCCAAUGUUUUGUGUUAUGAUCGUUUAUCACCUAACCAUCAAGCCUUUACUGCUCAACUCACCAUCCACAAAGAACCUAGUUCCUUUGCGCAGGCAGUUCAGAUACCUGAAUGGCGCAUUGCCAUGCAACAAGAGAUCAAAGCCCUCCAAAGUAAUCACACAUGGAGCUUAGUUCCUUUGCCUGCACACCAACGUCCUAUGGGAUGCAAAUGGGUGUACAAGAUUAAACUUAAUCCAGAUGGGACGGUUGAGCAUUACAAGGCACGACUUGUUGCUAAGGGGUACAAUCAAAUUCAAGGGCUAGAUUACAAAGAGACUUUUGCACCAGUUGCAAAAUUAACCACCGUCCGAGUUCUCUUGAGUCUUGCUGCAAUACGAGGUUGGUGUUUACCUCAACUGGACGUCAAUAACGCGUUCUUGCAUGGUGAUGUUUCAGAGGAAGUCUACAUGAAACUUCCACCUGGCUUCGGACGAAAAGGGGAGAAUAGAGUUUGUAGAUUGCAUAAAAGUCUCUAUGGUCUAAAGCAAGCAAGCAGACAGUGGUUCAUUAAGCUUUCCACAGCAUUGAAGGCGGCCGGUUUUAGACAAUCAUGGGCAGACUACUCGUUAUUCGUCCGAGCACAAUCUGGAAAAUUUACAGUGCUACUUGUGUAUGUUGAUGACGUGAUUCUAGCCGGGAAUGACUUGGAAGAUAUAAAUGCUACCAAAGUUUUUCUCUCCAACAGAUUCAAACUCAAAGAUUUGGGGCAACUCAAGUACUUCCUCGGGAUUGAAGUAGCACAUUCACAACAUGGUAUAGCACUCUACCAACGCAAAUACGCACUUGAAGUACUUGAAGACAGUGGCUUUCUUGCAGCCAAACUGUCCUCUUUCCCAGUUGAUCAGAAUUUGUCCUUGACUAGAGCUGAUGGAGAGUUGUUGUUUGAGCCCUCACAGUAUCGAAGAGAGAGAGAGAGAACGAUGGCAAAUGAAGCUCGUGAUUCUUCUGAGGAACACACACCUCCUGAGGAACCCAAUCCUUCUCCACUAGAUCAGGAUGAAAGAGUAUUUGCUUUGACUGCCAAUGAGGACAUUCCUGCAGAUGAUGAUGGCUUCUUAAGGGCAGUUUAUCAGUUCUGGUGUAACAUUUCUCGACAUCCCACCCUGACCCAGAAUUUCAGGUUGCCUCCCACCCAGACUCGGAAUAUCAGGUUGCCUCCCCACCCUGACCCGGUAUUUCAGGUUGCCUCCCACCUUGACCCGGUAUUUCAGGCUGCCUCGGUCGAAAGAGAAGUUUUCACCUUGUUUCAGGACCAACAACGGUACUUAGGAAUGGCAGUCCCUGCUGACCUGAAGAAACUGGAUGAGUACUUACUUUCUAGGAGUUACAUCACUGGGUAUCAGGCUUCAAAGGAUGAUAUCACUGUGCUCGCAGCUCUUGCAAAGGCCCCAUCCGCGCAAUAUGUGAAUGUGCUGCGGUGGUACAAACAUAUUGAGGCACUUCUGCGGAUUUCGUUUGUCAGUAAGGAAAAUUAUCGUGAUACCCUCGGCAUGUUAGCCCAUAUUCUUGUAUUGGGCACCAACACCAGCUGGAGAGAAAUACCAUCUCUUCCUCCCGGGGGAUUAUGCGCGUUUAAUCUUUGUGCAUACGGAGAUAUGCAUUGGCUGAUUACAAGAGUUACAGGAGGUGUUACAAAAGAGCUUAUAAUUUCUUUCGACUUCAAAAAAGAAGAGUUUCAUUGGACUCCUACUCCUCCAACACUGCGAAGCUCGAACAAGAACUCAGUCUUGGACUUGCUUACUUUAAGAGGAUCCAUGGCCAUUGUGGAGACUUUUCCAUCGCCAGAAGGAGGUAUAAAGGUCGAGAUAUGGGUGUUGAAAGAUUAUGCAAAGAAGGAAUGGGUGAGAGAAUACAACAUAAAUGUCGACAUGCGUCCUGAGUUUGAGUUGAAAAAAAGCAAGAGAGGCAAGGCUACCAAAUUUGAACAUUUGACAACAGUGGAGCAUAGUAGGAUAUCAUAUCAAGAACUCCGUCGCGCUACAAAUGACUUUUGUGAAAGCAACUUACUUGGAGGGGGAAGUUUUGGCUCGGUGUACAAAGGGAUACUGUCUAAUGGAACAACUAUUGCUGUCAAAAUUCUUGAGCUGGAAAUGGAGGGUGCUGUAAAAAGUUUUGAUGCGGAAUGCAAGGUGUGGCGAGCAAUCCGGCAUAGGAAUCUUGUAAAGGUCAUAACUACAUGUUCUAGCCCUGAUGUCAGAGCUUUAGUGCUGCAGUACAUGUCUAAUGGCAGUCUUGAGAAAUGGUUGUACUCUCACAACUACUGUCUCAGUAUUAUGCAAAGAGUGAGCAUGUUGAUCGAUAUUGCAUCUGCUUUGGAAUAUCACCAUCAUGGCCAAGCAGAAGCCGCGGUGCACUGUGAUGUAAAGCCUGGUAAUAUCGUUCUUGAUGAAGACAUGGUUGCACAUGUUGCAGACUUCGGUCUUGCAAAAAUUCUAGAAGAAAACAAAGAGGAAACGCAGACAAGAACCAUCGGCACCCUAGGAUAUGUUGCACCAGGAAAAGUGUCCACAAAAGGUGAUGUCUAUAGCUUCGGGAUAAUGCUGCUAGAAAUAACGGCAAGAAAGAAACCAACCGAUGAAAUGUUUGCCGGAGAAGUGACUUUGAGGCAAUGGAUACAUGAGGCCGUCCCGGAUUAUGUUCUGGAAGUGGUGGUUGCUGGCUUAUUGAGCAUAGAAGAGGGAAGAGACAUGAAUGCCACAGAAAGUAUCAUUAUGUCCAUCUUUGAAACAGGCUUGAGUAAACGAAGGCAAAGAGUCACAGCCUUGAAACUUCCCUAUAUGGGUCUCCAAGGCACCAUUUCCCCUCAUAUUGGCAACCUCUCCUUCCUAGUCCUUCUUGAUCUACAAAAUAAUAGCUUCACAGGGCCCCUGCCACAUGAAAUCAGUCGCUUACACCGUCUGAGAACACUUGUAGUCCAAGUUAACAAGUUGGAAGGAAUUAUUCCUCCAGCUUUGCAGCACUGUCAGAAGCUUGAACUCCUAUCACUUUCAUAUAACAGGCUAACUGGUCAGAUACCUAAAGAGUUGGGUUUCUUACCCAAGCUCCGGGGCCUAUAUCUUGGUGUGAACAAUUUUGAUGCUGGUAAUAUUCCAGUAUUUCUGGGCAACAUUUCAACAUUGCAAGCUUUGAGUCUACCGAACGCUGGUCUCACAGGUUCAUUCCCUCACAGUCUACUGAACCUAUCUUCUCUUGUUACUAUAUCUCUGUAUGAAAAUAACAUUUCUGGAAGUCUUCAUGAUAUGGAUAUCUGCCAUUAUUGGCCUAAUAUUGAAAUCCUUCAAUUUGCUGACAACAAAUUCAGUGGUAAGCUCCCUUCCAGAAUUGACCGAUGCAGAGAGAUUGUGGUCCUAUCUCUCUCAAAUAAUAGGCACAUCGGAAGUAUUCCCCAAGAAAUUGGCGCCUUAGAAAAUCUUGAAGAGCUUCUUCUUGAAUUUAAUAGCCUAACUGGUUUUAUACCUCCCACUAUAGGUAACUUGUCGAACUUGGAGAAAUUUUUUGUCCAAGGUAAUAACCUUACAGGAAGUAUUCCGAAGGAUUUGGGGCGCCUUUCUAAUCUGCAAGGACUCGGUUUGGCAAACAAUAGCCUAACCGGUGAAAUACCAAUUGAUAUUUACAACAUUUCCUCCUUAAAGAUUUUCACAGCAUCAUUCAAUUCCCUUUCUGGAACUUUUCCUUCAUCAACUAGAGUUUUACUUCCUAAUAUUGAUGGUCUCUAUCUUUCUAGCAAUCAAAUUACUGGAAAUAUCCCAGCAUACUUUUCAAAUUUUACCAAACUUCGUUUGCUUGAUCUUAGCCAAAAUUUACUUUAUGGAGCAAUACCCAUGAGUCUUGGUACCAUACAGAAUCUCCAGAUCCUUAAUUUGGGCAGAAAUCACUUAACUGGGGAACCUGGAGUUCUUGAACUUAAAUUCCUUUCUUCUAUAUUCAAUAGCAGUUCACUGAGGGUUUUGGCUUUGGAUGACAAUCCUCUCAAUGGCACCAUGCCUGAUUCUUUUAGAAAUCAACCUUAUUCCCUCCAGAACAUUUAUGCCCUAAGGUGCCAAAUCAAAGGUCACAUACCAUCAUCAAUUGGUUUUUUGAAAAACUUGACCUCCCUUGUUUUGUUGAACAACAAUAUGAGUGGAAAUCUUCCAUCAUCAAUUGGGGGAUUGGAGAUGAUGCAUAGAUUGUAUCUCGAUAGUAACAAUAUUGAAGGGGUCAUUCCAGGUGAACUUUGUCUUUUGAGGAAUCUAGGAGAGCUAUUACUAUCAAAUAACAAUUUCUCAGGAGCGAUCCCAAAUUGUAUAGCAAACCUCAGAGGCCUUCAAAAAGUCCUCCUGAAUUCCAAUAGACUGACGUCAACCAUACCAAUGAGUCUAUGGAGCCUUGAAAAUCUCCUGUUCCUGGAUUUGUCAUCCAAUUCCCUUAGUGGAGACUUACCUUCAAGCAUGAGAAAGACUGCAGUUCUUCAAAUGAUCGAUUUAUCCUCGAAUCAAAUCAGUGGAACAAUUCCAACUGUUAUUGGAGAAUUUCAAAGCUUGAGCUCUUUAAAUUUGUCAAACAACAUGUUUGUAGGAUCUGUUCCCCAAAGUUUUGGUGAUCUAAAAGGACUGGAACUUUUGGACCUAUCAUACAACACCUUGUCUGGCACGAUACCAAAGCCUCUAGAAAUGCUCAAAUAUCUCAAGUAUUUGAACUUGUCUUAUAACAAGCUCUCGGGAGAGAUUCCAUCUGAGGGGCCUUUUGCCAACUUCAGUGCACAAUCAUUCUUGGGGAAUAGGGAACUCUGUCAGAGAUCACCAAAAUUUGGAGUCUCACCUUGCAGGAAUCCUAGUGCUCGAAGAUCAAGGAACGCUUAUAAUUUGCUCACAUAUAUUUUACCAGCUAUUAUAUCAACAACAAUCCUCAUAAGCCUCAUUUCUUGGUGGAACUGUCAAAAACGAAAAGCCACCAAUCCAAGGCCAGCUGAACAGUUAAUAGCACCAGAGCACAUUCUGAUAUCAUAUCAUGAACUCUGUUUGGCUACCAAUCACUUCUGUGAAAGCAACUUACUGGGAGUGGGGAGUUUUGGCUCUGUGUACAAGGGUGUGCUUUCUGAUGGGACAAUUGUUGCUGUCAAGGUUCUAAAUUUGAAGAUGGAGGGUGCCUUCAAAAGUUUUGAUGCAGAGUGCAAGGUUUGGCGGACAAUCCGGCACAGAAAUGUUGUCAAGGUCGUAACUACAUGCUCAAGCCCUGACGUAAGAGCUCUGGUGCUGGAGUACAUGUCACAUGGCAGCCUUGAGAAGUGGCUAUACUCCCACAACCACUGUCUAGAUCUUCUGCAAAGAGUGAGUGUGUUGAUCGAUAUUGGUUCUGCUUUGGAAUAUCUCCACCAUGGUCAGUCAGAAGUUGUAGUUCACUGUGAUUUGAAGCCUAGCAAUAUUUUACUUGAUGAAGACAUGGUAGCACAUGUGGCAGACUUUGGUCUUGGAAAAGUUUUAGCAGAAAAUAAGGAGGAAACACAAACAAGAACUCUUGGCACACUUGGCUACAUUGCACCAGAGUAUGGUUCGGAAGGGAAAGUGUCUGCUAAGGGUGACAUUUAUAGUUUGGGAAUUAUGUUGUUUGAGAUUUUCACAAGAAGGAAACCCACAGAUGAACUUUUUGGGGGGGAACUGACUAUGAGGCAAUGGAUAAAUGCAUCGAUUCCAGAAAGGGUGAUUGAAGUUCUGGACAUUGGUUUGUUGUGCAUAGAAGAUGGAAGAGAUGUCAAUUUCCUGGAGAGCAUCGUUUUAGGUAUCAUGGAAGGCACAAAGUUUCAUCAAUCAUAUCAUUUCCUCUGCACACUUUAUUUUGUUUUUUCCGAUCCUCCGAUGGAACAUGAUGAUCAAAAGGAGUUGCAGCUUCUUCCUGGUCCUCCCUCCUCACACUGGACACCCCCUCGGCCGUCAGAUCCUUCCUCUCUACGAUACCGAUCAAAGGCAGCCGUUGAAGCCCUAGAAGCGCCCAACUCUCUGGACCUCCAACUCUCCAUAAGUGUGAGACCGCUGAGGUCAUCAUUAGGAGGAGGAGAUCGAGCAGCCAACAAUGUUUCAGGGUACGAACAUACGACGACGGGGUUGAAGGCGAAGGGGAGUUGCGUGGAGGCGCUGAAGUGGCAGGCGGCGGAGCAAAUCCGAAUGGCGGCAAUGGAGAAGGCGUACGCGGAGAGAGUGAGGGAGCUGACGAGGAGGGAGAUGGAGCUGGCGCAGUCGGAGUUCACACGUGCGAGACACAUGUGGGAGAGGGCGAGGGAGGAGGUGGACAAGGCGGAGAGGAUGAAGGAGAAGGCAAUGCGGCAGAUGGAUUCGACGUGCAUGGAGAUCACUUGCCAGUCUUGCAGGCAAAGCGUCAGACAUACAUAUACUAAACCCCAUAAGAUUUCACUGCUCGGCAAAGAAGAUACACAUUUGGUGGCGUUAGACCUGCCUGAACGUGUCCAGCAAGACUCUAAUGAUAAGUUGAUACAUAUUGCGGGAUCAAGCCAUGGUCUAGUCUGCCUUCAUCCUCUGUACACUUCGAAGAAUAAUCCUUUGUACACAUGGGAGGAGGAAAUCGUCGUAUGGAACCCAGCAACAAGAAAGCAUAGGUGUCUUCCUCCACCCUUGGCUUUUAAGGGUGAGAAGGAGAGUACUGGUGAUCGACCACUAUUGGGUUUCGUAUUCAUUAACGACGAUGCUGCAGAGUACAAAGUGGUGAGGAUUUCCCACAGCAUGGAUCAUGAUGCUGAUGGAAAGUUUACAUACCUAACCCAAGUCUUCACCCGCAGUGAAAACUCAUGGAGAGAAGUUAAAAGCUGUGUUCCGCCGGGAGAUUAUGACUUUGAAUCACACUCUUCCAUUACUUCGAAUGGAGUGUUGUAUUGCUUGGCAAGCACCAAGUCAGUUAGGUAUGUUUUCUCGUUCAAUCUGCAGGAUGAGGUAGUCCACAACAUGCCAAUGCCGCCUCGUUAUAGCCAUUUCCCCUCUCAUGAGUUUUAUGGCCAUCAGCUCUUUACAUGGGAAAAUUCGGCUGCAUUUUUAACCUAUGAUGAAGGCCAGUAUGUUCUUUGGGUGAUGAAGAAGGCAUCCGGUACACAAAUGCCUACAUGGAAUUGGACUGCACAGAUUACAAUCAAGAAUCUCAUACAGAUUCCCGGGGUCGGUAGCCGGCAAGUUGAAGCUUUUCCAUUAUGGGGGGGAGGGGGUGAUUUAUAUCUGUUUGUCAAGAGGCACGUCAAAGCUGGACAAGAUCUGGUUACGUAUGAUCGAGCGAAAACCAAACCAAGAAAGCUUUUCGAACUUGCGACAGGGAGUAUAUACCGUCAGUAUUUGCUGAUUGCUAGUGAACAUUGUUCGGGUGAGGAACUUCCAGGCGGUGCGAAAUGCAUUGACGAAGAGAGACGAGUGCUUCUCACCUUCAAACACCAUCUUACUGAUCCUUCCGGCAGGCUUUCUUCUUGGUCAAGCGGCGACGAUUGCUGUCAAUGGAAUGGUCUUUCAUGCGACAACCAGACUGGCCACAUAGUAAAGAUGGAUCUCCGGAAUCCAUAUCCAUACAGAAUUUAUAAUGACGAGUGGGAUUUCAAGGACUACCAACAGUCUUGCUUGAGUGGUAAGAUAAAUCCUUCUUUGCUUAGCUUGAAGCAUAUAUAUUACUUAGACCUAAGCUGGAAUGAUUUUCAUGGGAUUCACAUUCCCAACUUCUUGGGGAAGCUUACAAGCUUGAGGUAUCUCAAUCUCUCUUAUGCUUCAUUUCGAGGAGAGAUUCCCCAUUUUCUUGGUAACCUCUCAAACUUGAACUAUCUUGACCUUGACAAUAGCCGUCCCAGCAACAGCCUUGACGAAAACCUUUCUAAAAAUUUGAAUUGGCUUUCUCGUCUCUCUUCCCUGAAGUACCUCAAUCUCGGACGAGCUAACCUUGGUGGUGCAGGAGUGAGUUGGUUACAUUAUAUCAACAUGCUUCCCUCACUGUUGGAGUUGCAUUUAUCUGCAUGCGGCAUUGAUUCAAACCAGCUUCCACUCCUAUUACCGACCGUUAACUUUACAUCCCUUUCAGUCCUUGAUAUGUCUGAAAACUCUUUCAAUUCUUCGAUUCCAAGCUGGAUUUCUAAUCUGACAAGUCUAAGCACACUUGAUCUACACGGCAAUUAUUUUGCUAGUCCCAUUCCAAAUGAAUUUGCAAACUUAAAAAAUCUCGAGCACCUUGAUUUAUCAUUCAAUUACCUUGAUGGUCAAAUUCCUGAAGUUUUGGGACAGCUUUCCCAGCUAGUCGUCUUAGACCUGUCUCAAAAUUUUUGGGAAGGCACCUUAACAGAAUCCCAUUUCAAAAGUCUCACAAAAUUAGACUCUUUUGCCGUUAGCACAGACAGGCCUAUGCCUCUCAUUUUCAACGUGACAUAUGACAAACUUCCUCCUUUCAAGCUCCAUGAUAUUUCCAUUGUGAAUUGUCUAGUCGGUGAUGCAUUUGCCGUCUGGCUUCAAUCACAAACUGAACUGUCGGAUGUAAUGCUUAGUGGUACUGGACUUUCUGAAAUACCAGAGGAAUGGUUGUUGAAGAUAUCAUCCCAAGUCGAGUAUUUACAUUUCACCGACAAUCAAAUCCAAGGACCGCUUCCAUUCCAUUCCAAGUUUCCAAAAUUGUUCAGAUUAGAUUUGAGUCGCAAUCGAUUUUCCAAGUCUAUUCCCUUAGAUUUUGGACAACUAAUGCCAAAUCUGAGACUGUUGUACUUGUCUGAUAAUUAUUUAGUUGGUACCAUUCCAUCCUCAAUUUAUGAAAUUCCGUUGUGGAGCAUUUAUCUAAGGAACAAUCAGCUAUCUGGAGAGUUCCCUCAAGCAUGGAGUUUGUGGAGCGAAAUCGAUGUUGUGGAUGUCUCAAGAAACAAUCUCUCUGGUAAUAUUCCGAGUUCCAUGGGUAUCCCAAGUAGUCUUGCUAUAUUGAAGAUGAACAACAAUAACUUUGGUGGCAAAAUUCCUUCCUUCAGAAAUUGCUCUGAGUUGAGUAGACUUGCACUCGGAGGCAACAAGUUUUCUGGUAAUCUACCUUCAUGGAUAGGAUCAAUGGUGACACUGCGUAUGCUACAAUUGCGAACAAACUCUUUCAGUGGUCACAUUCCCCAUCACCUGUGCAAUCUUAUUGGUCUCCAUGUCCUGGACCUUGCUCAGAACAACUUUUCAGGUACCAUUCCAAAGUGUUUGGAUAAUAUCACUUCCAUGGGUAGCGAGCCCAGUGGUUGGCCUGUGUACGAUUAUGCUGAGCAAACAACAAUAAUAUCAAAAGGAAGAGAACUAGAAUACGGUGUUUACAAUGCAGGUUUGGUGAAAAGUAUUGAUCUUUCCUCAAAUAACUUGGAAGGUGAAAUUCCUGAUGAAAUAACCAGUCUCAUUGCACUGGGUACCUUGAACUUGUCGAGGAAUCAUUUACAUGGAAAUAUUCCGUCAAACAUUGGAAACUUGAGUUCGCUAGAAACACUUGACCUCUCACACAAUCACCUUUUUGGAGAAAUUCCUCAAAGCUUGUCUUCUUUGAACUACUUGUCUCAUUUGAACUUGUCUUGUAACAACUUUUCUGGAAGAAUUCCUUCGGGCAAUCAGCUCCGAACACUGGUCGAUCCAUCCAUUUAUGAGGGCAACCCAUCAUUGUGCGGCUUUCCUCUUUCAACCAAGUGCCCUGGAGAUGACGAACCUACUAGCACUGGAAAUCUUCCUGUCCAAAACAAUGAUGAUGAAGAUGGCAAUGAAAAGCUCGGUCUCUACAUUAGCGUCACGCUUGGCUUUAUCAUAGGCUUCUGGGGUGUUUGUGGCACAUUAGUUGUGAAGAAAUCGUUGAGGCAUGCCUAUUUUCAGUUCUUCAACAACAUCAAAGAAAAUAUAAUAGUGGCAAUUGCAGUGAAAUAUUUGCUGAUUACAAGUGAAUUUUGUUUGGGUGAAGAACUUCCAGGCAGUGCGAAAUGCAUUGACGAAGAGAGACGAGUGCUUCUCACCUUCAAACACCAUCUUACUGAUCCUUCUGGCAGGCUUUCUUCUUGGUCAAGCGGCGAUUGCUGUCAAUGGAAUGGUCUUUCAUGCAACAACCAGACUGGCCACAUUGUAAAGAUGGAUCUCCGGAAUCCAUAUCCGUACAGCCUUAAUGAUUAUGAGUGGGAUUUCAUGGACUACCAGCAGUCUUGCUUGAGUGGUAAGAUAAAUCCUUCUUUGCUUAGCUUAAAGCACUUAUAUUACUUAGACCUAAGCUGGAAUGAUUUUCGUGGGAUUCACAUUCCCAACUUCUUGGGGAAGCUUACGAGCUUGAGGUAUCUCAAUCUCUCUUAUGCUUCAUUUUCGGGAGAGAUUCCCCAUUUUCUUGGUAACCUCUCAAACUUGAACUAUCUUGACCUUGACAAUAGCCGACUCAGCGAAAGCAUUGACGUAACCCUUGCUUCCAAAAACUUGAAUUGGCUUUCUCAUCUCUCCUCCAUUAAGUACCUCAAUCUCGGACGAGUUAACAUUGGUGGUGUAGGAGUGAGUUGGUUACAUUAUGUCAACAUGCUUCCCUCACUGUUGGAGUUGCAUUUAUCUGCAUGUGGGAUGGAUUCAAACCAGCUUCCACUCUCAUUACCAACCCUUAACUUCACGUCCCUUUCAGUCCUUGAUAUGUCUGAGAAUUCUUUCAAUUCUUCGAUUCCAAGCUGGUUUUCUAAUCUGACAAGUCUACGCACACUUGAUCUACAUGACAAUUCUUUCGUUGGUCCCAUUCCCAAUGUACUUGCUAGCUUCAAAAAUCUCAAGCACCUUGAUCUAUCAGUUAAUCAACUUGAAGGUCAAAUUCCCAAACACAUUGGGAACUUUUGUACACUAGAGACAUUAAAUCUUGCUGAAAACUUGUUUGAGAAGGAAGGUAUACGAGAUUUCUUCAAUGGUCUCAUAGACUGUUCAAAUACUAGACUAGAGUCACUAGAUUUGUCUUUCAACUGGCUGGAAAGCGAAUUGCCUGCAUCCAUAGGAAAGUUACACAAACUGCAAUAUCUUAACCUCGACCGCAACUCCUUUUUCGGAUCAAUUCCAGAAUCUAUUGGAAACUUAUCAUCCUUGAGAGAACUGAUCCUCUCCACGAAUCUUCUCAAAGGAUCCAUUCCUGAAGUUUUGGGACAGCUUUCCCAGCUAGUUGUCUUAGACCUGUCUCAAAAUUUUUGGGAAGGCACCUUAACAGAAUCCCAUUUCAAAAGUCUCACAAAAUUAGACACUUUUGCCAUUGGCACAGAAAGGCCUAUGCCUCUCAUUUUCAAUGUGACAUAUGACAAACUUCCUCCUUUCAAGCUCUAUGAUAUUUCCAUUGUGAAUUGUCUAGUCGGUGAUGCAUUUGCCGUCUGGCUUCAAUCACAAACUAAAUUGUCAGCUGUCACCCUUAGUGGUACUGGACUUUCUGGGAUACCAGAGGAAUGGUUGUUGAAGAUAUCAUCCCGAACCGGGAUCCAAGUGCCGCCGUCGUCGUCUCUGCCCCGCCGUCGUCGUCUCUGCCCAGAAGUUGUCGUCGUGCCGAAGCCAAGGUACAGUCGACGCUGCCCUUUCUGCCCAGAGGACGCCGCCGUGCCAAAACCCAGGUCUCGACGCCGCCGUGCCAAAGCCCAGGUCCCGACGCCGUUGUGCCCCGGUCUCGACGCUGCCGCGCCGUUGUGCCGUGCCGAUCCACUCUGUCACGACGCGGUCGACGCCGCAUUCCUCGACCCAGUUCUGUUUUUGACCCGGUCUAGUUCAGUUUCUUGGACCCGUUCUGGAGUUGAAAGUUCUCAGGGGAAAGAUGUUCAGACAGUUGAAGUAUCUGUUAAGAAUUCUGAAAGUGGUUCAUUUGGGGGUGCCAAACUCAAUGGAACCAAUUUUCGGAAAUGGAAGAAAAUCAUGACGGCUCAUCUUCGAGGGAUGCACAAGAUGGGGCAUGUAACUGGGACAAUUAAGGCCCCUAGUGAAAGUGAUGUUGAUGCUUACACUAAGUGGGAAGAUGAUGAUGGUCUUGUGAUGUCAGUCUUGUACAAGGCCAUGAAUGAGGACAUAGUCGACCUGGUGGAACAAUGUGAUACAGCUCAGGCGAUCUGGAAGACACUGGAAGAUUUAUAUACUAAUGAGUCUGAUUUCAUACAGGUUCAUGAGUUAAUGUGCACUGCUUCUUCAAUGCAACAGAAUGGGCAGCCAGUGGCACAGUAUUUCACCAAGCUAAGGAACAUUUGGGCUGAAAUUGAUACAAAACGUCCUUGCAAGAUCAAGAACCAGGAGGAUCUUGUUUGGUACUUGAAGGAAAAGGAGCUUGAGCGAGUUCAUCACUUUCUGAGGGGUCUUGAUGCAAAACACAACAGUGCCAAAGGAGAGCUGCUCAGAAUGACAAAACCUCCUAAUCUGAUUACAGCUUUCACAUAUAUUCGUAAGGAUGAGUCUCAGCAGGAAAGUCUUACUCAAGCACAACUUGAAGUCUCUAGUCUCACUAUUCAAGCGAGAGCACCAGCACCACUCCUUCAGCAAUCGAGUUCAGUUCCACUUCACAAGCAAGGACCACCACCAGGCUUUGGGGACCAACCUCGUCCCCCUUGCUCUUAUUGCAAGGGUGACCAUGCUCGUGAGUCUUGUUGGAAGUUGUACCCUCAUCUUAGGCCUAAGAGGCCUACUUAUCGUCCCAAGGCAAAAGCAGCUAUCCAGUUGGUCCAAGAACCAGACAUCUAUGGUGUAUCCGGACAUGACCAUCAUACAGCAGAAGGCGCCACACCCACAGCAUCAGUGGCUGGUCGUGGUAAGAUAGGUAUGGCCUUAAAUAUUUCUAGCUUUGUUGGUGGUGAUACAUGGAUUAUUGAUUCAGGUGCUUCAGAUCAUAUGACUUAUGACAAAUCUUACUUUACUGAAUUAUCCUCUCCACCAGUACCAUAUGUUACUAAUGCUAAUGGUGAAGCCUUCCCUGUGUUAGGAAAAGGGAUCUUCUCACUGGGGAGUUACUCGGUCGGGGAAGAUCUUCCAUCUGAGGUUAGUGAUUCUAUUGGGGUUAAUGCUAGUGAUGCUAAUAGUAGACAAUAUGUGUUACCCAAUAGGUCUACUAGGGGUAAACCAGCAAAAACAUAUGAACCUACCCUUCAAGCCAAAGCUAAAUAUCCAGUGACAAAUUUUAUGUCUACCAAGAGAUUGUCUAAGUCAUAUGAAUCAUUUGUGAAUCAAAUAUCUGCUGUAUCAGUACCUAACAAAGUGCAGGAUGCGUUGGGAGAUCCAAAAUGGAGGAAAGCAAUGGAUGAGGAGAUGGAAGCGUUACAGAAGAACAAUACUUGGGAGCUUGUAUCCCCACCACAUGGAAAGAAGGCUGUGGGAUGUCGCUGGGUGUUUACAGUGAAGCAUAAUCCAGAUGGGUCAGUGAGUCGAUAUAAAGCACGCUUGGUAGCAAAGGGAUUCACUCAGACAUAUGGCAUUGACUAUGAUGAGACAUUUGCACCAGUUGCAAAGAUGAAUACUAUCCGGGUAUUGCUCUCUCUUGCUGCUAACUUAAACUGGCCUCUUAAACAGCUUGAUGUCAAGAAUGCUUUUCUUCAUGGAGAACUUGUGGAGGAAGUGUAUAUGGAUCUUCACCUGGAUAUAAAACUGCUCCUUCAGGUAACUUUGUGUGCAGAUUGAGAAAAUCUUUGUAUGGUCUUAAACAAUCACCUCGUGCUUGGUUUGGAAGGUUUUCACAGUUCAUGAGGAAGAUUGGUUAUAAGCAGAGUAACUCAGACCACACAUUGUUUCUCAGACAUCAACAAGGGAAGGUAACAGCUCUGAUCAUAUAUGUUGAUGAUAUGGUUGUUACUGGUAAUGAUACUAUUGAGAUGGAUAGAUUGCAAAACAGCUAGCCACAGAGUUUGAGAUGAAAGACCUAGGUACACUCAAGUACUUCUUGGGCAUUGAGGUAGCCAGGGGGAGUGAAGGCAUUUAUCUGUGUCAGAGGAAGUAUAUACUUGAUCUAUUAGCAGAGACAGGUAUGUUAGAUUGUACUCCAAUUGACACUCCUAUUGAGCAGAAUCACCGAUUAGCAGAGUAUCCUGAUCAGGUACCUACCGACAAGCCUCGUUAUCAGAGGUUAGUUGGACGUCUGAUUUAUUUAACACACACUAGACCAGAUGUUGCUUAUGCAGUAAGUGUGGUGAGCCAGUUCAUGCAUAAUCCCAGUGUAGAUCACAUGGAUGCUGUUGUGAGGAUUUUGAGGUACUUGAAGUCAGCUCCUGGGAGAGGAGUAAUGUUCUCUAAACACAGCAGUAUUCUUGAGAUUUGUGGUUUUACAGAUGCAGACUGGGCUGGAAAUAUUACAGACCGGAGGUCUACAUCAGGGUAUUUUACCUUUGUGGGAGGUAAUCUUGUUACUUGGAAGAGUAAGAAGCAAAAGGUGGUGGCUCGGUCUAGUGCUGAAGCAGAAUAUAGAGGUAUGGCAGUUGUAUUGUGA